rnacentral:lncRNA from 1 species
AUAUAAAAAAGUAAAAAAGAAAAAAAAGAAAUUGCAUAUAGAACAUUACAAUGGCUAUAUAUAUAGAAAGGCAUAAAAUUACAUCACUAAUUUAUUAGCCCGUUGUAUAAGUUUACUUUUGCAAUAGAGACUGAUGAGUCGUUCGGAGUUUAAACCUAAACAUUAACCGUUUGGUUCGGGGUUAAUAAAAAACUAGUUAUUCCAGGAAUAGGGUAAAGUUCAGGGUUAAGGUGGGGUUAGAGUAUAUUUUGUGUUUAGUUGGGGAUUGGAGUUAGUCCAGGAUUAAGAAAAAUAAUGUUUGGUUGGAGUAGGUGGGAUAAGAAGGAUAGUGGGUAAAAUAUUAUUUUGUUUGGUUUGAAUAGUGGGGUGGGGUGGGGUUAGCUAACUCCACCCCAAAUGGGCUAUCUCAGAAUAGCCCAUUUGGGGUGGGGUUUGCUAACCCCGGUUGGAGUAGUGGGGUGGGGUAGGGUUAGCUAACCCCACCCCUUAUUUGAUGUGUUUGGGAAUAAGUUGGGGGUUAAGGGGUUAUUCCACCCUUUAACCCCCAACCAAACACUAGCGUAAACAAAAUUUAUUUAAAUCCCGAUAUUGCAUCCCAAGUCAUAAAUUUGUUAGCCUCAUUUGUAUGGUUGUAAUGGAGUAAUAGGUUGCUUUCGAGUUUCUUGUUUCCACAAAGCAUAUAAAUGAGAGGUCAUUUUGCAUUUACUCUUUAAAGCUCUGAGCUCACCACAUCUGGUUAGUCACACGAGUGCACCAAUAAAAAUAUCUACAAACAAACAUUAGUAGCCAUGAGUAAUGUUAGAUAUUUUGAUUAUCGAGUUCAAUUUUGUAUCAUAAUUUAUUAAAAAUUUUAUGGUAUGAUAAAUUUUAAAAAUAAUUUGUGAAAGAAAAAAGAGAUGUUUGUGAUGAAAGCGGAGGGCUCAAAUUGAUAGCCCCGAGAGAUUUUGAAGACAUCCGUUAAGAUUUUUUUUUUCUUCUUUUUGUCCUAUAAACAAUAUAGUGCAUUGUGGUUUUCACAAUAUUGUACUUCAUACAGUGAAGUUAGAUCUCUCAUCUUUCGUUCGUGGUUAUUUUCUGUAAAAAUUUUUUUGCGAAAAUCCUUGUGUUCUAUUUUUUUUUUUUUUUAUUUUGUGAUUUGUCUAUAUUGUGAUCACCGUUUUUCGUUUUUGAUUGUGCGCUCGUCGUAAUUAACUAAAGAAUUUGGCUUCUUUUCAUGAUACUCCAAAGAUGAUACAACAAUGGUUAAAUAACCAUUUACAUACAUGCCCUAAUAAAUCAGGGCCUAAUCUAAGCCUUAAUUUUAGGAAGACAAUCAUGUGAUUAAUUGUCUAAGAAUGAAAAAAUUCCUAAGAAAGAAAGUAAAAGAUGGAAAUAAAUAAAAUUACAAAUCAUAUUUCCAAUCUAAAUGUUAAUACUCCCCCUCAAGUUGGCGCAUGAACAUCAGUGAUGCCCAACUUGCCAAGCAAAAAAUGAAACUGCUGUCGUCCCAGUGCUUUAGUAAAAAUAUCGGCAAGUUGGAGAUAACUGGGCACAUGAAAGGUUUCAUUAUCAUGCGAUUGAAGCCGUUCGCGAAUAAAAUGACAAUCAAUUUCGAUAUGUUUAAUACACUCAUGGAAAACGGGAUUAGCCGCAAUGUGAAGCGCCGCUUGGUUAUCACAAAACAGCCUCAUUGGUUUGGGAUGAUCAACUCCAACAGAACAAAGCAAAUUUCGAAGCCAAAUUAGCUCACAAGUAGCAACAGCCAUGGAUCGAUAUUCAGCUUCUACAGAUGAACGUGAAACUGUUGUUUGCUUCUUAGCUUUCCAAGAAAUAGGUGAAGAACCUAGCAUGACAAAAUAACCUGUAAGGGAGCGACGUGUUAUAGGGCAACUUGCCCAAUCUGUAUCACAGUAAGCCCGCAAUUGUAGAUCAUUUGAAGCCGAAAGAAAGAUGCCUUGUCCGGGACAAGACUUUAAAUAAUGUAGAAUUCUCAUCGCUGCAUCUAAAUGUCCUUGGCAUGGCUUUUGCAUAAAUUGACUGAGGAUAUGCACCGAAUAUGUAAUUUCUGGUCAAGUGAUAGUGAGAUAUAUAUAUGCCUUCCAAUGAGACGUCUAUAUUGUGCAGGAUUAUCAACUGGUGAUCCUGAAUUUUGAGAAAGUUGGUGUUGUUGUUCCAUUGGAAAGUAUGCAGGCUUGGCUCCAAGCAUUCUACAUUCAGCUAGAAUAUCCAAGGUAUAUUUUCUUUGACAUAAAAAUAUAUCCGAAGGAGAAUGAACUACCUCCACACCAAGAAAGUAUUUCAAAAUACCAAGAUCCUUGAUAUGAAAGCAAGUAUCAAGGUACUGUUUAAGCAAUAGACACUCUUUGGAAUUAUUUCCUACAAUGAUCAAGUCGUCGACGUACACAAGGACAGCCAAAAAUGCAUCUCCUUUAUUGAAUGUAAAAAGCGAAUAAUCCACCUUAGAUUGAAGAAAACCAUCCUUUUAAGGGCAUCAGAAAAUUUAGCAAACCAAUUUCUUGAGGCUUGUCGUAAUCCAUAAAGAGAUUUACGUAAACGACAAACCCUUCUAUCCUGAUUUUUGGAGAUACCUGGUGGAAGAGACAUGUAUACUUCUUCAUCUAAAUCACCAUGUAGAAAAGCAUUAUUCACAUCAAGUUGGUGGAGUUCCCACUUCUUUGCGACUACUACAGCAAGUAGACAACGAACAGUUACAAGUUUAGCAACUGGAGCAUAUGUUUCAUGAAAAUCUAAUCCCUCAAUUUGUGUGUAACCCUUGGCCACGAGGCGUGCUUUGUAGCGUUCUAUACUGCCGUCAGCCCGAUAUUUGAUUUUAUAAACCCAUUUGCAUCCAAUAGGUUUCUUAUUAGGGGGAAGAUGCUCUAAAGUCCAUAUUUGAUUUGUUUCAAGUGCUUGAAUUUCCUUCGCCAUAGAAUCAUGCCACUUCGGAUCAUUUAUUGCCUGGGAAAAAGACUUUGGCUCAUCCAAGUUUGUGGUGGCCGCUAGGAAAGCUCGAUGUUUAGGUGAGAAGCGAUCAUCGAAAAUAAAAUGCGAAAGAGUAUGUGACGUACCGGAAGAAGCAUCUUGAAGUGAUGAGUGAGAGUUAGAGUUUCCAAGAGCAGAGUGGCAUAUAUAAUCUGUUAAAUAAGUUGGUCGUUUGUGUGUUCUUUGUGGUCGAGAAAAUGUAGGAUGCAUUUCAGGCAUAGGUUCUAUAUCAGUUUCUCUUUCCGAAUUGGUUGAUUGAGAAUUACUAAUGUCAGAAAUGACAUCAGAAUUCUCCUUUUGGGGUAUCAAGGGAGCUGCAGGAUUAGUAUCAAUGGGUUGGUUAGAUUGUUUUAUUGAUAAAGGUGGAACUAUUUGAGCUUCAGUAUAAUCUUGAAUGCGUUGUGGAAUCACAGGUUCAUGAUGGUUAUGUUGCAUGGCAUCAAGAAUGCUCGAACUGGCAAAAGGAAAUUGCUCUUCGUAAAAUAUCACAUCACGAGAAACAAAAAUAUGUUUAGUGGCUAAAUCAUAAACUUUCUAACCCUUUUCCCAUAAGGAUAUCCUACAAAGAUGCAUCUAGCUGCCCGUGGAUCAAAUUUAUCAUGUAUUUUGUAAUGGAGAUGAGCAUAACAUAAGCACCCAAAGACACAAAAAUGUUCAUAUGAUGGUGCUUUAGAAAAUAAAAUUUCAAAUGGAGACUUUCCUGAAAGAAGUGGAGUCGGAGUGUAGUUUAUCAAAUAUGCAGCAGUUAACACACGUUCACCCAAAAAAUCAAUAGGAAGGUGAGCUUGGAAACGUAAAGCUCGCGCAACAUUAAGGACAUGACGAUGCUUUCGCUCUACUCUUCCAUUUUGUUGGGGUGUAUGAACACAAGAAGUUUGAUAUAUGAUGCCAUUUUGAUGGAAAAAUUUUUGCAUGAGAUUAGAAGUGAAUUCCGAUCCAUUGUCAUUCCUAACUUGUUGCACUUGACAUUGAAAUUGUGUUUUAACCAUAGCACAAAACGAGGUCAAGUAAUGAUAAGCCUCAGAUUUUUGUUGCAUCAAAUAUACCCAUGUGGCACGACUAAAAUCAUCUACUAUAGUGAGAAAGUAAUGGACUCCAGAAUUUGAACGUGUAUGAUAACGACCCCAUAUAUCACAAUGUAUAAGAGCAAAACAACAACUAGUUUUAUUAUUACUUAAAGGAAAUGAUGCACGAGUUUGUUUGGCACGAUGACAAACAUCACAACCAGCAGAAUAAUUAUUUGUAGAAAAAAAGAUUUCAGGAAUAAAAGAUAAACUGCGAUGUGAAGCAUAUCCGAGCCUUUGAUGCCAUACUAGGUUAUUGUUAGGUUGAAUGACAGGUGCUGCAAUUGGGAUAGCCGACUGUUUGAAGUAGUAUACUCCAUCUCUCAUUUCACCCACUCCAAUCAGCUUCUUCUUGGUGAGGUCCUGAAUAGCACAAAAUGUUGGAAAGAAAGUCACAACACAAUUCAAAUCAGUGGUAAGUUUUUGGACAGAAAUCAAAUUGCAUUUAAAAUUUGGCACAUAUAGAACAUUAUUCAGAACAAUAUUUUGGCUUAAUGGAAUGCAACCAAUUUUUGAAAUAGGCAUAUAGGUUCCAUUUGGCAAACGAACAGGUGGUUUGUUAUAGGCUAUUUUAGAUUGAGCCAAAGCUCGCUCACUAGCAGUCAUAUGAUCCGAAGCUCCACUAGCAAUUAUCCACUCAGCUUCACAAAAAUUUUGAAAGACCUUACCAGAAAAAGACUCUUGCAUGCGUGAUUUUUCAGUACUUAAUAAAAUUAGGAGCUGAUCAUAUUGUUCUCUGUUCAAUCCUGCAAGAGGCGAGGCAUCCACUUUGGUAGCUUGAGAACUAUUUGCAGAUGUGUAUGGAACUCUGCUUGAUUGCUCAGUUUGCAUAUUGCUGAAUGUUUAGGAAAAGAUUGCAUUAGAUGCUGGUACAAAUAUUCUUGAUCGUCUAUUUGACCAGUUUGGUGGAUAUCCAACGAGUUCAUAACAUCUUGACUUGUUGUGGCCCAAUUUCUUGUAAUGAUCACAUCUUUCUUUGAAGCGAUUAGAAUCUCUUUGAUUUGUCUUGACCACAUUGCUAACAUAUAAGGCCGCAGCUUCGACUUUGGGGCCUCGACUAGGAAAUAGAGAUUGUUGUUUUUCUUCUCUUACAACAAACACAUAUACUUUACUCAGAUUUGGCAUAGGAUCAAUGCUUAAAAUCUGAAAUCGUAUAGUAUUGUAUGCAUCACCUAGGCCCAUGAGGAAUUGGUGGACCUUUUCUUUCUCGCGCUCUUGCACGAAUUCUUUGGCUGCCCCGCAAGAGCAUUUGGGAACAGUUGAAUACAUGCUUAAUUCAUCCCACAAGGCCUUCAUCUCUGUGAAGUAUGUGGCAAUACUUAAUCCAUUCUGUUGAAGCGAACUAAGAUCACGUUUGAUUUGAUGGACUCGAGGAGGAAUUACUUUGUGAGAAGCGUUCUUCUAGAUCAAUCUACAUCUCCCUUGCUGUUUCAAGAUAUGCAACACUAUCAUGCAAUUCCUUGGCUAGAGAAUUAAAAAGCCAAGAAAUGAUCAUAGAGAUACAUUUCUCCCAGGCAUGAACAUCUGGUGAAGUCACCUCUGGUUUCAUUAUGGUUCCAUCAACAAAACCAUAUUUGUUUUUAGCACGUAGGGCAUUAGUCAUUGUUCUAGCCCAGGUUGCAUAAUUAUCUCCAUUGAGCAGGCAUAACACCAAAGUAUUUUCAGGACUAUCAGAAGGAUUGAGAAAGAAAGGCGAAGAGGAAUCAAAAAGUAACUUGAGCAUGCAUUGGUGUUAUCAGAUUCCUCUCCCAUGGAGAUAGGUUAUAAGGAAAUAGAAUAGGAGGUUAAUGGUUCAAGACUUUUUAUUUGGCUCUGAUACCAUAAAGAAUUUGGCUUCUUUUCAUGAUACUCCAAAGAUGAUACAACAAUGGUUAAAUAACCAUUUACAUACAUGCCCUUAAUAAAUCAGGGCCUAAUCUAAGCCUUAAUUUUAGGAAGACAAUUAUGUGAUUGAUUGUCUAAAAAUGAAAAAAUUCCUAAGAAAGAAAGUAAAAGAUGGAAAUAAAUAAAAUUACAAAUUAUAUUUCCAAUCUAAAUGUUAAUAGUAACAAAUAAUAUUUAAAUUUAAUGAGCUUAUUCGUCAACACUAAAAUCAGUUUUGUUAGUAUUAUCAUCCCUUGAUUUAUAAGAUGCUUUCUUAUACAGUGAUUUGCCCUUGUAAAAUAUUUCUAAAAGUAGAGUUUAUCUGAUUUGAAAGUUCCUUGCCGUAUGAUUAGUAGACUCAAACAUAGUCUCCUUUUUCUAUAUAUGAAGUGAGUUCUCUGCUUUUAAAGUCACUUCGGAAAAAAAAAGAAAAAAAAAGAAAAAAAAAAGAACAAUAAUUAAUAAUCACCUUACAAGUUCUGUCAUGGCGAAGCAAAAAAUGCCCAACUGCCCACGUGGUGGUCCCCACAAUAACGGCCGUAUACCCCCAAACUAUCAUAAAUAAAAGGAAGUUAACCACCGAAAAAGCUCUUGAAAAGAAAAAAGUUUUGAAUUCUAGUUGAUUCAUAUUUCCAGUUAAGUUUAUUUUUAAAUAAAAUAAACGAAGCAGUAGCGUGCUAUCUAUCUUUCUCAAAAAAAAAAAAAAAAAGCAAAAACAAAAAAAAAACCACUCACACCCUCCAACUAAAAAGUAUUAAAUUACAAACAAUAAUACAAUAUAUACAAGCACGGCAAUAAUAUGGAGAAGCUACAAUUAAAACAGAGGCAAGUGACGCGAAAAUUAUGUUUCAGUGUGGCGUCAUCGCACGAUGGUGUGGUGACGUCCACGGUGUUUUGUCAAACAGUGCUGCGCCCCCUGAACUUAAAAUACUCUGUGCCCCGGCACUCCGUCUUCCACCAAUUUUCUACCGCACCUUCUCGGGCCCCUUUCUCUCUAUCUAUCUCACUCACAUCCCUUCCUAUCCUUAUAUUUCUCUCUUUCUCCUACUCUCUAUAAUAUAAUGGCGAAUCAACUGCUCUCGACGGCUCCUCGCCGCGAGACCCUCCCGGAGAGCUACGUCCGGCCCGAAUCGCAGCGCCCGCGGCUCUCCGAAGUUGUGACGGACGCCGACAUCCCGGUGAUCGACCUCGGCUGCCCCGACAAGCCCCAAACCAUCUCCCGAAUCGCCCACGCCUGCAGAUCCUACGGCUUCUUCCAGGUCCCUCUUUUUUCUUUUUUCUUUUUUCUUUUUUUUUUUUUUNCGAUUGAUUGCCUAGUUUUGUUUCGAUCACGGCCGAAUCGGCCGCUUGCGCAUUUUGCAGGUGGUGAGUCACGGGAUAUCGCCCGAGUUGAUGCUGCAGGUUAUGGCCAUGGCGCUCGAGUUCUUCCGCCUGCCCGCGGAGGAGAAGGCGAAGCUCUACUCCGACGACCCCGCGAAGAAGAUGCGGCUCUCCACGAGCUUCAACGUGCGCAAGGAGACGGUCCACAAUUGGCGCGACUAUCUCCGCCUUCAUUGCUAUCCUCUCCAAGAGUUCGUCCCCGAUUGGCCCUCUAAUCCCCCCUUGUUCAAGUAAGGAAGUUUGAGCCGCCCCUGUUUCAGGACAUAGUUUCAAAACUUUGUUUCUUAUUGAUUGAUCGUGAACUAGUUAAUAGCUUGCCUAAGCUACUAGGUAUUAGGUGUCUAGCUAGAGAGGAAGUCUACUGUACUUUGUCACACUUACAUCGCGUCAUUAAUAACCAGCGGCGUUAUUAAUAACCAGCGAAUCUUAUCUUUUUCUAAUAAAAAUAUAAUAAAAAUAUCUCUUUAUUAAUCACGACGGACAGAUGAAUUCAAAAAAAAUAACCUUAUUGGUUGGAAACGGGAGGUCAGCAACAUAACUUGUACUUCCUAGCUAGGAAGGAAAAAUCUUUCGGUGUGGGGUCUCACACAGCGACUCUUUAUGCGGCGAUCUGCGACCGCACACUAAUAUCUACAUCCAUCGAAGGUUAGUGCUCAGUGCUCCCCCUCCGACAUCCGGUGAGGACGACCGGGAGGGAGUGGCACGCGCAACAGGUGUUCGGUCGAGCUUGCUCCGAAGCUCGAAUGCGCUAGUUUGCGGUGUCGGUGUACGGAUUUUUUUGUGUGUGUAAGAGAAGGACACCUAUUCUUAAGUUCCUAGCACUUACCGACCUAACCUACUGCUUUGGAAGGAGUGUUAGCAUCCAUUAACACAAUGACUUUGUCAUGGCGAGGCCAUGAAAAAGUUCUUUGGAAUCUAGAGCGAUGCUUUGUUACAAAAUUUCUUAGAAGAGGAAUUUAGUUUGUUUAAUCAUAUUCAGAGUGUAAAGGUAACGUGGCCUUCAAUUUGUCUUUUAUUAAGAAUCUUUUGAAAUUAGGAAUCUUCCACAUGUUGUGAAAUGGUCCUAGUACUCUUUUUAGUGAGGGAUCUUACCUACUUGGCCUUGUACCUUCGUAAGGUGAAAAUAUAGUGGUUUUAAAACAAAAGCCACGCAAAAAAGAAGUUAAGGAAAAUUGUAAAAAGAAGAAGCAAUCGCUCAUUAAUCGUGAUCAUUAUUGUUGCGUUUGUUUUUGGUCGGUAUUAUAGGGUCAAGCAAUAUUUGCCAUCAUCAUUUAUAAUUUCCGUAACAACACUAUCUACAAUCACAGCAAAGUGGCUGGCACAGAGGAAUAUACCAGGCAUGUGAGUGCACAUGCCUAGAGGACUAGUACAAAAGAGGGGCAAUUUCGGCCUUAACAAAUUCUAAGCAUGUACACUUCGUCAUCUCUCCUGUCCUUAUCUCUGUCAUGCACGUGCAGUAGGGUGUUAAGAUUGCUUCUUAAAUAUUUACUGCUGGUGGCCUUACGUAAAGUCUUACAUAAAGUACGUAACAAACUAAUCCUGUGUUUUCUCGGUCUGCACCAGGGAAAUAAUGAGCACCUACUGUAGGGAGGUUCGUCGGUUAGGGUUUCGGCUCCUCGGAUUCAUAUCUUUGAGCCUAGGUUUAGAGGAGGACUAUAUUGAAAAGGUGUUGGGCGAGCAAGAACAACACAUGGCUGUGAACUACUACCCGGAGUGUCCCCAGCCGGAGCUCACUUACGGUUUACCGGCCCACACAGACCCGAAUGCGCUCACAAUCCUUCUGCAAGAUCAACAAGUGGCUGGUUUGCAGGUAUUGAAGGACGGAAAAUGGAUCGCGGUCAAUCCCCAGCCCAAUGCUCUGGUCAUCAAUUUGGGAGACCAACUACAGGUGAAGUAGAGUUGCUUUCGCUUGAUAUUCGCAAACCCGUAUCAAAUUGGCUGGUUUGUCGAUUAACAACUGAUACAUUAAGAUAAGAGUUUUGAGAGAGCGACUUGGUGAUAAUGUAGGCACUUAGCAACGGUCGAUACAAGAGCGUCUGGCACCGGGCGGUGGUCAAUUCGGUCCAUGAGCGGAUGUCCGUAGCAUCCUUUUUGUGCCCGUGCAACUGUGCACUCAUCCGCCCUGCAGAGAAUCUCACCGCUGACGGAUCCAACGCCAUAUACCGGAGCUACACAUACGACGAGUACUACAAGAAAUUCUGGAGCAGGAACUUGGAUCAGGAGCACUGUUUAGAGCUUUUCAGAAGCUGAAGGUUCAUUUGGAUUGACGCAAUUGCAAUUCGGCUGUAAGUCAUGUCUAGCGGGAUUAGAAGUAUUAAGUUCUGUUGUAGAUCACGACGAUACCAAAAAAGUAGACUUCAAUUCUUUUUCCAGUGAAGCUGUUUUUGAGGAAUUGAAUCAACCAGUAGACCAAAGAUAUCUUUUGUGUUGUUAGGUCAAGCGCAGGAAGUAAUAUAUCUAUUCUCACUUCAUAUGAUUUACGGCCAAAUUGCAAGCGCGCCGAUCCAAAUGCUCCAAACCCUCCCUAAGUUGCGCUCCUUCAUGUCGUCCACAUAAACAGCUUUUUGGGACGGCUCUGGUUGUCCACCAUGCAAAAAAGAAGGAAUUGGUGGCUUCUGGGGACUCGGGGGCCCUUCGUCCAUUUUUCAGUUUAGUGCAUCACUAUGCCGUUGGAAUGUUUCUUCAGGAUUAUUAUUGAUAAGUCAGUUUUAUUAACGUCACAAUUAGUGAGUGUCUUAGCUUUUCGAAGGCGUUGCCCAUACUAAUUAUCGGUACAAAAAGCUAAGUCACUGACUAAUAAUAAGAUGUGUAAAGUUGACCGAUCAAUAAUAUUUUAAAGUAUACUAUUAGGUAUGUGUACCACUUUUUUUUUUUUCUUUCUAAUUUUUUUAAGCAUGUUGCUUUUCCUUUUUGGAGCACUCAAAUUGCUCCGCAUCAGGGAGGAAAGAUUCGCCUCUUAGGUGUCCAAUGGAAACAAGUGGUGGUGUCGCAGUGAUGUCUCCGUUUGUAUUUAGCAGAAAGCGUUUGUAUUUAGUAGAAAGCAUUCUGGCACGGCUUCAGUGCUUGUACCAUUAAUGUAUACUAUCUUGUACGCAUGUUGUACUGCUUUAUUGAUGAUCUAAUGUUUUGGUCACUGGGGCAUUUAAAUUGCGUUAUGACCUAAUGAGUUGCUCAGAUUGCUUUUUAGUGGACUUCGCACGUAUAAUAUUAUGUCUUAGACAAAGAGCGCACCAAAUGAAUUGGGUCCAAAAGCACAGAUUUAAGUGCGGUGCUAUGAGAUUGUACCUAAAACUUACAGACACGUGUCGGAUCAGUGUUGGUAAAAAAAUAUAUAUGUGCCGAUAAAUAAUAAUAUAAAAUAUUUAUUUUUUAAAAAAAUCAAGUUUUCUAAUUACUUUAUUAUAUAUUUUUAUCAAAUCUUAUAAAUUUUAUUGAGAAAAUUAUUUAUUAAUUUAAAACGAAUUUGAAAUAUACAGUGCCGGUAUUUUAUUGAUACGAGAUGGUACGGUAAAUAUUGUCAGCACCGAUGAACACUUAAAUCCUUAUCGAAAAGACUUAAUAUGAUGGUUUAUUGUUAUUAACUCUAAAACUAAGUCAAAUUAUGCUCCAAUUAGUCAUAGAUCGAAUCAAAAUGGUUGAAUUUGCUCAUAUUUUAGAUUCCUUCCCAAUAUCCAAUCCAGAAAUAGUCAUCUACUUAACACAACAAACCAGUAUGGGCCUGUUUUGCCUAACUUCUAAAAAAGUGAUUUCUGCAUAAAUGAUUUUGGUUUGAAAAAUUGAUCUUGGUGAAAAGCUAUAGAGCGGUUGACAGAGUUUAGGUAAAAGUGAUUUUUCUGAAGUGAUUUUUUAAAACUGUUCGGCAAAAAAAAUUUUAAUGCUUGCAUAAAUUAAUAUUUUUACUAAAUUUUAUUUUAAAAUAAUUUAANAAAUUUGAAAUAUACAGUGCCAGUAUUUUAUUGAUACGAGAUGGUACGGUAAAUAUAGUCCGCACCGAUGAACACUUAAAUCUUAAUAUGAUGGUUUAUUGUUAUUAACUCUAAAACUAAGUCAAAUUAUGCUCCAAUUAGUCAUAGAUCGAAUCAAAAUGGUUGAAUUUGCUCAUAUUUUAGAUUCCUUCCCAAUAUCCAAUCCAGAAAUAGUCGUCUACUUAACACAACAAACCAGUAUGGGCCUGUUUUGCCUAACUUCUAAAAAAGUGAUUUCUGCAUAAAUGAUUUUGGUUUGAAAAAUUGAUCUUGGUGAAAAGCUAUAGAGCGGUUGACAGAGUUUAGGUAAAAGUGAUUUUCUAAAACUGUUUGGCAAAAAAAAUUUUAAUGCUUGCAUAAAUUAAUAUUUUUACUAAAUUUUAUUUUAAAAUAAUUUAAAAUUUAAAUUUAAAUAAAAAAUUUAAAUUUGAAUUAAAAGUAUAAUUUUUAAAUUUCAAAUUUGUACAAAAAAUAAAUUUGAAAUUUCAAAAUUUUAUAUUUAAAAUUUGAAUUUUUAAAUCUAAAUUUAACUUUUCAAUAUGAAUUUAAAUUUUGAAUUUCAAAUUUAAAAUCUAAAUUUCAAAUUUCAAAUUUCAAAUUUUAAAUUUCAAAUUUAAGAUUUGAAAUUUGAAAAAAUUUAAGUUUUAAAAUCUGAAAUGUCAAAAUUUAAAUUUUAUCUUAAAUUUAAAAUUUAAAAUUUUGAAUUUUAAACUUUAAAAUUUGAGAUUUGAAACUUAAAUUUAAAAUGUAAAUUUUAAAAGUUGAGAUUUAAAAAUUCAAAUAUAAAUUUAAAAUUUCACAAUUUAAAUUUAAUGUUAAAUUUAUACUUUGAAUCUAAAGUAAAAAAAUAAAAAUUUAAAGUUUGAGUCCAAAAUCAAAAUCAGUUUUGGAGAAAUAGCUUUUUUCUAUUUCUGAUUCCCGGACCUUCAAAAUCAGUUUUCUGAUUCUGAAAAGCUGAAUCAGAUUUUUUAUCUGCCAUUUCCAAAUACUCUAUUGAGCUCAAAAAUAAUUUUAGAUUCAGAAUCACUUAUGAGAAGUUGGGUGAAACACCCCUAUGUCUUUGUUCAAUUCCUUGGAAACUUUGCUCCCAAUCAAACAAAAUCCAGAAAAGAUAUGAUUACAUCACCGACAACAGUGUCGUCUACCCGAUAACUUUUUAUUUUCGGCCGACCAACCCAAUGGAGCCGCACCUUUUUGUGUAGCUCUUUUCUGCCUGUUACAUUGCACCGACUAUUGGAAUUAGGCUCUUCGGUUCAUGGCAAGGGCCAAUACUUUACCGCCUUUAAAUUUGGAUCCACUCAAACACAGUAGACCCUGUCCCCAUUAACACGCUUAUCUCCACCGCCUUUGAAUUUGCUGGACCACUCGGAGCGAAGAUCUCAUCCCUACUGUAGCAAUUGCAGCGUAUUUUACCUUUUUUUUUUUGGGUGUGGGGGGGGGGGGAGGAAUUGAAAAGUAUUCGAUGAAAAAAAAAAUACAGUGAUUACUGUAAUAAAAAGUAUAGAUGUAGUUCUGAGCCGCAGAAAUGAAAUCUCUAAUUUGUUGUUCACGGCCUGAGCAAUAAGUUUGUUCCGACCACCGUGAAAACACAACUAGCGUAAGUUAAAUCUCGAGAAAAUCCUAAACCCUAAACCUUAACCCUGAAUCAGAAUUUUUCUAACGAAAGUUCUGCUAAUUUGACAAAAACAUAGAAUACCACUCAGAUCAAUAAAAGAACAAAAAGGAGCAAAGUAAAAGAAGCAUAAAGUAGAACAAAAGGUAGAAAUCGCCGGAAAGAAUAAGAAAUGGAGACACACGCACGCAGGCACGCACACACCAACUAUAUUUAAUUGUGCAGAUUAUUAAUUUAGAAUCUUUACUUUCUGAUCUGUAUUUAGUAGUUUUUGGGGAUCAAUUUUCUUAGGAGAAGACUCCUAAAGGAUACAAAGAAACUUCCGGAAUGAUGCGCGGGUGAAAGAACUAGGCCUGGGCCCAACGACAUUUUCGGAUAUGGCACAUUAAAGUGGAAUCUAGGCCCAGAUUCACCCAACAAGACGGGCUCUGUAGCCUAAGAUCCGACCCAGGCCUAUCAUCAGCCUUAUCACUCCCGAAUAAUUCUCCACAAGGUCUACUCAAAUUUGCUCUGCAUGAGUUGUUCUAAUUUGUCCAAUAAGAUUCACACCGACAAACCAUCCCUAGCGCAAGUAGCAAAAAGCUUGGUGAUUGGUAUCCGAAGUCCUAAGUUCGAAUCCUAGUUGAUUCAUAUUUCUACAGCUAAGUUUAUUUCUAAAAUUAAAUAAACGAAGUGGAUAGCAUGCUAUCUAUCCCACAGUAUAGUUACUGAAAUAGAGAUAGAAAAGGUCGUAAUAAACUUCAAUCAAGCAAUCAACAUUCUGUACUAAUUUUAUGCUUUUCCUAUGUACUGUUGAUGAUUCCUUUUAUGCAUGAGGGUGCUAAAAUAGGGAAAAUGGGAGGUGUAUUUAAUCUUUUUUCUCCCACAGUUUUGCUUUCUUUUAUAGUAUUUUUGUGGAAUUUGCACGUUUAGUUUUCUAGACUUGCUUAUUAAAACUAAACUUGCUUAUUUGUGAAUCUGUUUCAUGCGGCUUGGCAAGGAAAUUUUGAAUCAUGGAUACAGGAUCCUUUACGUGUAAGAUCAAUUGCUCAUGCAAUUUGGGAUCCUCAUUUUGGUCAACCAGCUGUGCGCCUCAGUACUGAAAAUGGCACAGAAAAGUAAGCUUAGCUCGCUGGGUUUACUUAUUUAUUUAGUCAUUUGUUUAUUUAUCUAUCUAUUUAUUUUGGUUGUGUUAAGAACCCUUCCGAACUUGUUAUCUGGUUGAGAUGAUUAAUCAACAAGUGAAAUAAUGGUAUUUUUGAGAAAAAAAAAAGAAGCUUAUAUUAAACAGUCGUGGUUUCAUUUAAAUGGCCCAAAGAGAGUAUUUCUCUGGCUACAGCAGUUUCAUAUGAAAUGGCUCAACAGGAGUUGAAACUGUAAAUAUAUGAAUGCAAGCUCAACAAGUCUAAAACCACAGCCCGUGUGUUGUGCGGGGUCAAAGAGAAAGCUGUCGACCAUUUAUUCACAUGAUGUGUCUUCUCGAGAUUUUUACUGAUGACGACCUUAGAGUAUGCUCAGUCUAGAGAUUGAGGGGAUGACGUGAGAUCGGUCAAGGAUAGAUGGAUGACGAGAAUUGGAACGCAGUCGUCGGGUACUACGAUAUCUGGAUUGGUAGCCUGCUGGCGGGUAUAAUUUGGAAGGUCAGAAACGGCAUGAUCUUUAGGAAGACCAAACCGGACCCCUUUUUUGUAGCUUACAAGAUAUAGCAGCUGACGAAUCUUUUGAAACAAUUUCUAUCAGGUAAUCAACGACACGUUUGUAGUUAGUCGGUUUUUGUUUUGCUUUUUUUUUUUUUUUCGACCCCUCCGAGGCCUAUGUUGCCUCAACCCUGUAGCUUAGUUCAUCUUUUCAAUGAAUGAAACGAGUAGCGUGCUACCUAUUUCUAAAAAAAAAUAAAAAAAAAAGAAGUCUAAACCACCUCUAUACAUCAAAACAUAUAACCUUAUGGAAAAUACUUUGCUUAUAAAUAAAUCUCACAAUAUUUUACAAACUAUACAAUGCAGUGGUCGGGCUUCAAUCUUAAACUAUAAAUCAUGCUUUUCUUCUUGUAAUUUACAAUUUUUCACCAAUUAAAUGCCGUCACCUAUGCUAGUGUAUAAAAUAUUGUAAAAUUUAUUUAUAAAUAUAACAUUACUCGAGGUGCAGUACUCUAUCAAACACAGAAUAAAGAAUAAUGCUAAGAAAUUAAUACUUGGUUUGAUCAAAUAGUCAUCAUAAUCUUAGUUAUAACAAGCAAGAUAAAACUUUAAAAAUAGAUCAUGAUGGAUGGAAAAACUUCAAUUCGAAAAAGACUUGUAUUUCUACAGAGAUUAUCAUGAACAAUCCUUAGAUCAUCCCUUUACCUUAGAAUUGAGAACUACAUUAAUUUUGCGUUUGGUUUUAGUUGCAAACAAAGAAUGUACGAGUUUAAUCCCUAGAUUCUCAUGAAAGAAAGCAUUUCGGUUGUAUUUUAAAAAACAGAAAUUUUUUUUCUUAAAAUCUUAUUCUUUAUUUACUUUCGAGAUUAAUUUCGUAUAUGUCCCUAUAAAUAUAGUAAAUAACAAAUAUAUUCCUACAAACUUCAAUUUUCAUAUUGUCUCUACAAGAGUUCUAAUGCUUACAAAUAUUCCUGCAGUUAGAAAUCGUCAAAAAAAUUUAGUUAAACAUAGAUUAAUGACUUAAUCUUAAUUAAUUUUUAAUAUUUUUAUCACUUUUAUAUUAUACUAUUAUGAUUUUUGAAAGAACAUAUUUAUAAUGACAAAAUUAAAAAAUAACAAAUCAGAAGAAUAUAUUUAAAAAUAUAAAAACUUCCAUAAAAAUAACAUGUAAAAAUUAAACUUUGUUGGAAUAUAUUUAUCAUUCACUAUAUUUGCAGGGACUAUGAAAUUAACCCUUACUUUUAAUUAUGGUUAAGUUCCACUCUUGAACCAUAAUCCACCAUAACCCAUAAAUUAAAUGUUUCAAAUUAGAAUUCCUUCAUUUAUUUUUAUUUUUAUUUUUUACUUUUUUGUUGCCUCCACAAUCCGCAGGGAUAGAUAAUGGAAUGGCUGGGAUCAAACUAUAGAUUCAAAAGUGGCCAGUUGUCCGUUUGGCAUCAUCCUACCAAUUAGCAACUUAUUACUAAGGCAAACAUCCAAAAGUAGCUUCGUCCCCCCCCCUCCCCUCGUACUAGUUAUGGCCGCUAUAAACAAACAGCUACUAGGAAACAAAGGAAACGAAAAGAAAAGAGAGAAGGGGGGGGGGGGGGGGAGGUGAAUUUGCCAUCAUAUGCAAUCAUGGGCGUCGAAUUUCAACGCAUCGCGAUCCCUAAACUCGAGAACUGCGCUGCAACGCUUCCAAAGAAAAAGUUAGGCGAGUUGGAAUCCACCAGAGCAAAAUAUAUCCGUAAGAGAGAGAGAGGAGGAGAGAAGAGAGAGAGAGAGAGAGAGAGAGGGAGCGAGAGUACAAAAAUCGGCUUCACUGCUCCCAAAAGCUUUUUGCUGCAGCUCUGGCUACCACUGCGUCGAAGCCUCCCCACAUCACACAAUUUUCACCAGCACACUACUGUAGCCAUGGACCACCUCAACCCCCUUCUUCAAAGUCUACGCAUAUAUAUACGCCAUCGUCCUCCUCUACUCUCUCUCUCUCUCUCUCUCUCUCUCUCUCUCUCUCUCUCUGUCUCUCUCUGCUCCACGUGUCGGGGAGGGAAAGAAGGAAAGAGACGUGAGAUGACAGGAUAAGAAAGAAUCGUUCAGCAGCCAGCGUUGAUGCAGGUGAAGAUCUGGUGCACAGCGGCUGCCACCUCGUCGGCGGAGCCGAGCCUGCAGUCCUCUUCCAUCUGCAUUUGGAUUAGCUUCCACUAAUUAGCGUCCGGGGAUUACGUUUGUACGGACUAUUCGGAUGGAUUAUCCGUGGCGCAUUGCCUACAAUGAAUGCUAUGCGCUACGCGCGGAGUAACUCUGCGGUAGCAAUUCCAUGGUCGGCAGGUGCAAUCCCGCGGCCAUCACAUGGAUGUAGAUUUUAUCUUGUUUCAGGAGUAUCCUCCAGAGUCAUGCAUAAAAAUAGAAAAGUCGAGGAAGAGAGAGAGAGAGAGAGAGAGAGAGAGAGAGAGAGAGAGCAAUGAAGAUGAGGGUGAAAGACCUUGAGGUUGAGGGAGUAGAGGACGGAGGAUUCGUCGAGGGAGGCGAUGUUGAGGUGCAGGACGGAGAGGCGGAGCUCCUCCACGGCGGCGAUGGCCCUCGCCAACUGCCCCGCCCGCCGCGGCCCAGCCACCUUCAGGCUCACGUGCCCUUGCACCACCUUCGCCUCCACGUCCACCCCAAACACCGCCGCCGCCAUUUUCUCCUCCCCCUCCUGCUGUAGCCGCCGCCGCUGCUGCUGCGAGUAGGUCGUAUACUGCGGCGAGAAGAAGAACCCAUCGAGCACGGCGCCUUCCUGGGUUGGGUCGUGAGCCUCGUCGGAUGCGGUGCACCGGAAAGAGCUCGCGGCCGAGGUACGGAUCCGCUUCUGGGCUCGGAGUGAGAGGAGGAGCUGCUCCAGCUCUUUCACGAAGUCGAUGGCCCCACCAAUAAUGGAGGCCUGGUCCCCCUGCGCGUAACACGGGAAUCUUCAGAUCACAGCCGUUGGAUAGGAGAGAUUGGACGGCUGCCAUUUCGAGCGCCUAUGAAAUUUGAAUAUGAGUGAGGGCUGGAACGUACGUACCCGUUGGACGAAGGAAGGCGGGAUGAGAGAGCGCAGGGCGGCGAGGUGGUCGUUCAUGAGACGGCGGCGGUUGCGCUCCACCGCAAUGUGGGUCAACCGCUGGGUCUCCACCUCCUCCGGCUUCUUCGCAGACCCCGAAGCCCGCGCCCUCUUCCUCUUCUUCUUGGCCCGCGGCGCUGCCGCCGUCGCCAUAAUUAUUUCCACUUUUUUCUCGUUAUGGUCGUGGCCGAGCCUUCUGACAUCGGAUUGCGACUCCGACGCGUGGGAGAUGCAGCUCUCGAGCUGCUCCACCGGCACGGGGGCUGCGGCGGCAGAAAAGACAUCAAUCUCAGCCGUCCGAUCCCGCUUGCCGCAGUUGCUUUGUAGUUGGAGGAGCUGGAAUUGGGAUUCGGAAGGAUAGGAGGGUAAGAGAGAUUGGGAAUGGAGCCGUUCUUCUUCUUCUUCUUCUUCUUCUUCUUCUUCUUCUUCUUCUUCUUCAUCCUCCCCCGCUGUCUCUACUCCCAUUGCUCCUCGGAGUAGCAACUGGAGGAAAGGAGUUUGGCGAUGAUGAUGAUGAUGACGAUGAUGAUGGGACGAGAUCAGGCUUAAGUAGCUCAUCUCCACCGCAGAGUUACUGUUCGCCACCCCUGUCUCCAAGCACUCCGAGUUCAUCUCCUCUCCGCCCAACUGCUUUAUUUUCCAAGUAAAAUGGGAGAGAUUAGCAAGUGCGUUCUCUUUUAAAAAUCGAAACUUUACACAGGGGGGUUAUCGCGAAACAGGCAAAUGACGCGGACCCAUUAACGGUCAAGGAAAUUGAAUGGAAACUUUUCCGACCCGAAAAAGGAAGCCACGGACAAAGAAAGGAGGGCAAAAUAAUCCCACCUCUAUCCUCUUCCUUCUAAUGCAGCUGCAUUGAAUGAAAUGUCCAUAAAGGGGAACCGGUACCCACCUUUCUUCCAUCCACAAAAAGGAGGUUUGUGGGGGGUUGGGGUGUGGGGGAAAGGGGUAUUCAGAUGAUGCGCAAGAGAGAAAUUAAACAGGAAAGGGGUGGGGUAUUUAAGGACACUUACGAAGGGAUUAAUGGGCCCUUGAAGCCUCUCCAUAGGAGCAGCAGCACCAAACAGAGGAAGCAGUGCCGGGAAUUGACAACUCCCACUCGCAGCAGUCUGUGUGCAAGUAGCACCCCACCCCCCCACCCCCCUUCUGACUCUCUGCUUCUUCCUUAAACAAUCCCCCAACCACCACUUCUCUUCAUGAAUCGAACCGAAAGGUGCUCCUUUAAUUCCAUCCUCGACGCACCCAGCCGCAGCAUUAAAUGCAGAGGCAGAAACGCGAGACAACACAAGGAACAAAGCCCACAAUAAUCAUUACUCUCUUGCUUCCUCUGUUUCAAAGGGCUAGUGGUCCGAAGAGAAAGGAGCGAGUGCGACUACGGAGGAGAGCUGGGGACGGACUAGGGAGGGGAAUAAAACAAAGGAGAUGGAAUGAGAGGGAAUGGAAGAGAGAAGAAGAGAGAGGAGCGGUCCUGCAGAACAAUAUAUGGUAGAAGGGUUGUGGGUGAGAAAAGAUGUGGGGGCGGCGAGUAAAAAAGCCUCCUCAUGCAGGGAUGAUGAUAAAUAGUAAACUAAUACACGGUAAUAAACCAUGAGGUAAUUGAGUAGUGACAAAAGGCAAUUGUGGGGAUUCUGACAGCGGAAGCAUCUCCCAAAAAUAUUAUUUUAUAUACAACGAAUUCAUAUAAAAUAUUUUAAUUAAUUUGCACAAAUAAUUUAUAUAUACCACAUUAAGCUGUUGAAAAAAAUAAUAAAUAAAUAAUAAAAAUAUACAAAAUUUAUCUUAAUACAAACUAUUUUGAAUAUACUUAUUCAAUUUUUCAAUAUUAAAAUCUUAACGCACCUCGUUUGGUUAGGGAAUAAGAGUGGGAUAUCUAUCUGAUUCCUUAUUAACGAAUUAUUUCGGAAUAAUCCUAAGCAGGGACGAAGCCAGAAAUUAAAAUUUGGGGGGGCCAAGAUUUAGAGUUGAUAGGAAAAAAAUUCAACCUCAGAUAAUAAGAAAAAAAAAAUUGUCAGGUUUACUGAUUAGUUAUUACUAGCAACAAUAAUGAUAAUAUACUCAAAGAAGAAUAAAACUGUAAAAGUUGAAGAAAAAGGAUCAAGAAAUUUGAAAAAAUAAAAUUAAGACACAAAUUUUAUUAAAAAAAUUAAUUUGGCCCGCUACAAUUAAAAUUUAUAAUAUUUUAAUUUUUAUUACAAAAAUUUUUUAUGUAAUUUUAAAAAAGUUAGAGAAGGCCGUGAACCACUGUGGGCCCCUCAAUAGCUCCGCCCCUGCGGUUAAGGGGUGGGAUAGCUCCCACUCUUUGUGUGAAAAUAUGGGUGGUGUUCACACCCCUAUUUAAUUCUUUUAAAAAUUUAAAUUUUAAAAAUUUAUAAUAUAAAGAGUAAUAUUAUUUUUUUUCUAUUUAGCGCUAAUUAUUUUUCUUAUUUCAUUUAUCUAUCAAAUGUUAUUUUUCUUAUUUUCGAAAACAACUCAAUUUUUAUCCAAAUUCAAAAUUGAUAUAUUUCAGACUUAUAUCUAAACUUAUACUUAUCUUCGAAAUAAACAGUUUUUGUUUGAUAUGCAAUAAACAAAAUACACAAGCAAUUAACCGUGUGGGAGGAUGGAGGUUAAAAAUGUAAUUGUAGUUGUGGUGGAUGUGGGGCGGAAAAGCUUAGAAAGGUUGGCGCAGGCUACAUAGAUCUGGGGAUUGUGGCGCUGUCUUUUUUGCAAGACCAGCAUUAUUGUUUUGGUUGGCAGGUUUGUCCGUCUGCGAAGACAGUCCUGGGGCCUUCCCUUACCCACUCCACUCUGCCAUCCUCUCUCUCUCUCUCUCUCUCUCUCUCUCUCCUGCAGCUAAUCGUCUAUUUGAUGAUAAGACGUAAAAGAGGAAAACAACACCCUCUACACAUGGUUUAGGAUUAUGAUUACCUCAAACCUCCAGAUCAGGGGUAAACUCAAUUUCAUUCCCUCAAAAGAAGCCGCUAAUGCUAGAUGGGGUCUCGUCCUUCUGGAUCUGCUAGAACGCUAAGUUUCGGCAAUAGACCAAAUAUGCAAACGACACUAACAGCUUCCCGCCCACUGUGUAGUAAAGUCCCAAAGGACUCUGUCAUCCGCCGUGCAUCAAAGAUCACGGGAAAUACAAAGAAAAGUGAAAGCAUGAUUUUGGCCAUUUAUUCCUAACUAAAAAUUCAAUUGACUAUGCCUAAUCAAUGGCUCAAAUCGAGACCUCACCUUUAUAACCGGAAUAAUAAUUGAUCGGACUGAGAGAAGUCAGUUAGAGGUGAGUGAGGCUAGAUAGUAGGUCUUAAUAAGACGUCAGCCCAGAUUGAAAGUAAUUCCACCCUAAUACAUAUUGGACAAAGAGGUCCAAAUUUCCUAUAAGAAAAAAUUUAGAUGCAGUGCGCAUUGAAAUUUUUGGAUUAACAUUUUAAGAAAAUUUGCUAAUCCCCAUUUGGUAAAAGAUCAUUACUAAUUAUUAAGACCAUUUGCGGGCUAUUAUCUAGAGAAUCGGUCUUCUGGAUAAUAAUUUGUCACAACCUAUCUAAAACCCUUGCAAUUCUAAGAAUCCUGGCCUUAUUAUCCAAAAUCAUUAUUUAAUAAUAGGUUAAAUUUUUAUCGAUCAUUAGUGCUGAGUCUCUGAUCCUUCUGAUCCACCACACCCAGGAAUGGGGUGUUUUAGCUCUAUUUAUCUUUUUUUGGUUCUUAUUAUGUUACAAAGAGUUUCAGCUCGUUUUCCGUAGCUUGGCACAUUGAUCUAUUCUAUCAUACUAGUAAGAAAUAAAACAUGCUCAAGUUGUUUCGUAAUAACCGAUCGUUCCUAAACCAAGUGGUAAAAAAAUUGAUGGUUGAUAACCGAUGUUCCAAAUUCGAAUCCUAGUUGAUUCACAUUUCCAGCUAAGUUUAUGUUUAAAUAAAAUAAACGAGACGGGUAGCGUGCUACCUAUCUCUCAAAAAAAAAAAAAAAAAAAAAAAAACUGUUUCGUAAAAAAUCUUUGCAAAUCGAAGGCUAUGCAAAAGGCACUUAUAAGAUGAUAGAGAAGCAUGCUUAAAAUAGAAAGUAUAAAGGACUCCGAGAUUUGCGGUCAAACCUCGUAAAAUGGCUCGACUUUGUUGGCCUUGACGACAUGUACAGACGUUCCAGCAGUCGCACGCAUCGCACACAAACCAGUGUAAAGAAACACCUCUUGGUUCUAGUUGGCCUAGAACUAGGCUAAAUUAUCCCUGGAAUCUCCCCAAAGAAUUUUCUAUUGAACAAGACUCCCACAUACGGCCCGGGCUAAAAUUUAACGGGCAUAUGAAAAAUGUGAACUCUUUGUCGUAAUGUGAAGUAAGAAACCUAUAAUUUCGAUACAAAAAGUAAAGAUCACGCAUCAGCAUGGUAGUUAAGCUUUGGUUGGGAAAGAUACGAGAAAUUAGUAUGUGAUAUAUAGAUAGCAAGAAGCAAUUUUAACAAAUGGUAUAAUAGUUACAUAGUUGUUAAGCUCUAGUUGGAAGAGAUAAGAGGAAAGUCAGUACGUGAUAUAUGAAUAGCAAUAAGCAGUUUUAAUAAAUGAUAUAAUACCGACCGUUCCUAGAGCAAGUGGCAAAAGACUUGAUGGUUGGUACCCGAGACCUAAGUUCGAAUCCUAGUUGAUUCGUAUUUCCAGCUAAGUUUAUUUCUAAAUGAAAUAAACGAAACGGGUAGCAUGCUAUCUAUCUCUUUAAAAAAAAAAAAACAAAUAAUAUAAUAAAUACCUCAAUCUUGAUCACUGUUUAUAAACAGCUAUGCUAGUGGUACAUACAAAAAUGGAUGUACAAAUAGCAUUUACCAUAAACAAGACAAAUUUGCCUCAUAUUCUGGCCUUAUUAUAUAAUGGAGUUUUCUUAGAAACAAGAAGUAAUAGGAGAAGACAGUAUGCUCUCCCCCAAUAGCUUCUUUCUACAAACAACACUACUAGAACGACGGCAGGUACGAACAUAAGCAGCAACCUAACAAGGUUAAAGGGACAAAAGUUUUAUGGGAAUAGUUCCCAUGAUAAGCGAUCUCAUCCACCGUUCAUCAUGCUUUAAAGUCGUAUAGUCCACAUGAUGGACGGAGGAUCAGACAGUUCCCAUAAAAUUUUUGUUCCAUUUUAAUCUAUUGCAUCUAUCGCAUCAAAAAUUGUUCGGUUAAAUAUUGUCUCACAAAAUAUUAUUAUUAGCGAUCAAUAGAAGGACAAUUGGUUAAGAAUUUGUAAUAUUUCGAAGAUAUUAUAUAAUUUUUAUUUGUAAUUGUAAUUUUGUUACUAACUUAUCAAACUAUUUGAAUUGAGAAGUUAUUAAAAAGGAAAAUUUUCUUCAAUACCCUUCCAAGUAGUUCUAAUUUCAUGAAUACACGUCAAAAUUUUAAAAUUUCAUAUUUGCCCUUCAAAAGCAUGGAAAAGUUUCAAAAAUACCCUCACCGCUAGCAAUCUGUUAUAUUAGCUUCAAUAUACCAAUUUUACCAUCUAUUUUAAUUUAAUCACCACUCUCACAAUUUUUUUUUGAAUAUAUGAAGACCCCCUCAAUUACUACCCAUUGUGAAAUACCCUUCUAAAUUUAACUUUUUAAUUAAAGUCUUCUUAAAUUUUAUUUUCUUAAAUUGAAUGAUUUUUUAUUAUUAAAUUAGAGAUUUUAUCUAAUCCAUUAAUGAUUCAAAUAAAUUUAAUAAUUUUAAUAACUUCGUAGUAUAUAAAAUUAAAUAAGUUUCUGUUCAAAAAAAUAAUAAUAAUAAAAACUUCAAGGAUUUACUUAAAUGACCUAUAGUUGAUAGUUUUAGUAUAAAUAUCAAAAAUAAGUGAAAAUUUUUUUGAUUUUUAAACAAAAAAUAAGGGUAAAAUGGUAAUUUCAUAAUUUUAAAUAAAAUAAAAAAAUGCUAUGUCGACAGAAGUUAGCCAAAAAUUAAUGGUGAGGGUAUUUAUGAAAAAAAUAUUGUAUUUAGAGGGGUAUUUGUGAAAUUUUAAAAAUUCAAAGGAUAUUUAUGAUAUUUCAUAACUUUGUGAGGGUACAAAUGAAAUUAACCCUAUUAAAAACUAGUAUAUUCUUAUUAUUUGUAAUUGCAACUUUGUUAGUAACUUAUCAAACUAUUUGAAUUGAGAAGUUAUUAAAAACUAGUAUAUUCUUAUCAACGGCCUACUAAUAAUUUUCAUUAAAUUAAAAAAUGAGAAUACUUGUAAUCCAUAAUAAUUUAGUAUUCAACCGACUAAGAAUCUAUAAUGAUUUCACUAAUUUACCAACAUCUUUUUUAAAACUACCCGACUUAAGUUGAAUAAUAAUAAUUUAAAUAUUUUUAAUAAAAAAUAUAAAAAAAUUAUCAAAAUAUUAUAAAUCAUGAAACAAAUGGAUUCUAAAAAUAAAAUUUAUUUUGGGAGCAACACUACACAUCAAAAAAAGUUUAGAUAAAAUACUCCUAACAAAAUAUUAAAAUGGCAAAGAGAGAUAGGAUAACACGUUACCACCAGCAAUACUUCAUCACUGCAAUGAAAGUGACGAUGUGAGGCAAACAUAUUUAACUCGUCAUUAUUCCGUCAACCUCUACCCUUUCCACGCUGUAAUGCUGUAUAUAUACUGUCUGGGUCUGAAUCUCAAGAGGGAACAGCAUUUCCAAAUGAUACAGAGUUGGGAGUAAAAAGUAUGUGCAAAGACAAGGGCAGCAAUUGACAGAAGCACUUUUCUCUGACGAGACCCUUGUUCCAGGAUAUUGAUUUCGAAAGAGCUAAUUUUUGUGUUCCAAUAAAUCUAUGGAAUCUACUUAUUAUUAUUAUUAUUAUUAUUAUUAUUAUUAUUAUUAUUAAACUAGUAAAAAGCAUAUAUGUUAGAACAACCUCUCCAAUUUCAGGUUGAAGCGGAAACAAGCGAUUAAGCGUUUUUAAUUACUAUGGAAGUGUAAGGGUAAUAAGAGCCUGACUUGUAUGCUUUCAGAAAUACAAUGCUCUCCAAAAUAGUUUUUGAUAUUGAGACUUUUCAAUCAACCCAUUUUGUUAGACUUUAUAUAAUAUUAAAAGUACCUAAAAAAUAAAUUUUAUAAUUUUUUAAUAUCGCCUCUUUCAUCAUCAAAAUGACUCAAAAUCAACAGCUAAAAAUACAAAUCUAACAAAAAGUGAUAAUAUAACACUAAAAUUUUAGAUCAACAAUAUUGCUUUUUACCGACCGUCCCUAGAGCAAAUGGCAAAGGGCUUGGUGGUUGGUACCCGAGACCCAAGUUCAAAUCCUAGUUAAUUCACAUUUCUUGCUAAGUUUAUUUCUAAAUAAAAUAAACGAAACGGAUAGCGUGUUACUUAUCUCUCAAAAAAAAAAAAUAUAUUAACCUUAUUUUAUAUAGUAUAAAAAAAUUUCUAUCAAAAUUUUACGUACUGUUAAACUUACAAACGACUCACUACGAUUACUAAAAUUAUUAAUUUUAAUUUUAUAAUUACUUAAUAAAUAAUAUCAAAAAAAAUUAUAAAAUUUAAUUUUUAAAUAUUUUAAAUUAAGUCUAACAAAAACGAUCAUAUAUUCAAAAGUCUUAGUACGGACAAUUAUUUGAUAGUAUGGAAAUUAUCAUACUUCUUAAAGCACGUUAGUCUAGCUCAGAUAAUAAUAUAGAGUAUAUGAUUCAGUCAAAAUUAACCAGCUUUUUGACCAGGGGAGGCAUUUUCCCGAGGCUUGCAGAUUUCUGGACAGAACUUUUCACUUUUUCCCAUGCCUUACCAAAUAAAUCAUAGUUACCAGCACUCAGCCAUUUAGCUCACCGUCAGGUACUGUACUUUUUAAGUCAUUUCUAAUAGAAAAAAUUGCAUCUUAAUAUUUUAAAACUUUUUAUUUAUGUUUUUAAUUUUUUUAUAUGCCUGUAUUCUGCUGAUUUAUUUGACAUAAUUUAAUUUUUUUUUAAAUUAUAUUUUAGGAUGGAUGUUUCGAGAUAUGAAAUAGAUGUAUCCAUUUCUAACAGGUUGUUUAGGAAAAAUCACGUUUUAUAUUUUUUCCUUCAAAAUUAAAUCAGUAUAUUCGAAUGAGCAUGCCAUGUCACUUCGCAUAAAAUAAUGAUGUGAGCAUUCCACUAUAUAUAUCUCUCACUAUAUUAUUAAUUAAUAUAUUAAAUGUGGAGGCUCAUGAUUAACUUAUGCAUGCAUUGCGAAAUAUGAUAAAAAUUUAUUAAUAUACUAAUAAUAUAUAAAGAUAGCAUUAUGAUAUACAUGCAACAGUGCUGUUAAGCAUAUAGGAAGUCCAGAUUUUAACUUAAAAAUUCUACGACUCGACUGAAAAUUUUAGAUCACAGAAUUUAAAGAAGUAACGAGAUGACACUUACAUGGAGCCAGCAAAGUGCCAAAGCCAUAGGAACAUUAGGAUUUUCUUACCUUCUGACAAUUCCGGUAAUAUAAAACUUACCUAUUAGAUAGUUAAUACUCUAUGAUGCAGUCACCGACCGUCUGUAGUGCAAAUGACAAAGAACUUAAUGUUUAAUAUCUAAUGUUUCAAAUUCGAAUCUUAAUUGAUUUAUAUUUUCAGUUAAGCUUAUUUCUAAAAAAAAUAAACGAAACGGAUAACAUGCUACCUUAAUUUCUCUCUCAAAAAAAAAAAAAACUUUUUGAUGCAGUCGGGUCCCUAUAUGAUAAGGUUUGGUCACUCUCUAAUGUAGCACUAUUUCGAGUCCUUGGAUGAAAGAAAAAAAGAAAAAAGAAAAAUGAAAGAUUGUGAUAGUUCAGAUGUACACUAGAUGAGGCAUUCUUCGGAGCAAGCAAGAUAGAGAGGCAUUUGCAUUAUUAAAUGAUAUGCAGGAUUCAGGGAAGUACCUCACUUGCAUUGUGUUCGAGGCCAGCACUUGCGUUUGAGGCCUGCAAUUGUGUUCCAGGCCCGCACCGUGAUAACACGGGCUCGUUCUAUUGCCUAUCUCACAACAACCCUCUCAAUAGAAGGCAUUAUUCAGUGGAAGAAGAAUUCAACUUCAUUAGCCUUAUCAUCAUCAUCAAGGAACUGCAAGAUAAUUGUAAUCCACAACCAAUCAUCACAAGAAAUGAGAAGAAAGCGUUCAAGUUGAUUGAGGUUUAGAUGCAUUUGCAGAUCAAAUAGGCUUACCUGAGCGGACUAGCCAAAAGUGAUAUCCCCAUCUGUCCGAGGUUAUUUGGCAAUUAACCCUCACCAGGGAGAGCCAAGAGAAAAAGGCCGAAAAAAAAUAGAUCGAGAAUGCAUGGUAGGAGGGGACUGUAAACAUUACAAACCAAAGGUAAAUUGAAUUUAUCCAUAGGAACUGCAAGAACAUAAGUAUGCAACUAAUGCUACCACUGAAGAUACAAAACUUUCAGACUAUGACCUUUCUAAUUCCACAUCCGUCAUUUGCUUGCUUUCAUGAAGGCAGAACAACUGUGAAACCCAACUUCAAAAACUUGCUUCCCUAUUAUAAAUAAGAGACAUGUCUAAUUAGUCUGCCCUUGUAAUAUAGCUUAAGAUUACACUAAAAAGAAAUGAAAGCACAAAUCGUACUUAUGUUCAAAUGAGGAUCAUACAUCUAGCUGAUUAAAGAUCUUCUGUAUACCACCUCAGAUACUGCUGAACUAUUCAAAGGAUCAACAAAGCAAUGCUUCAAACACUAAUAGAUUCUACAUUCUAUAUAUUUGUUAGGGAUUCCACAGAGGUUGCUUAGCAGAUGGGUGAUCUAAACUGAUGAAAUAUUUUUUAAGCUCAUCCAAGGUCCUUGGAAUAGCAUGGAUUGAUCACUGGAAAAAUCUCUCAAUAUUAUCUGUAACAAGGAAAGAACACCCAUCUAAAGCAAAUAUGAAUUUAAGCUAAAAAUAUUCAGAAGCAUUACAGUAAUCAUUAUUGCAAGCAUUAAUUUAAUAUGUGCAUGUCCAUCAAAUAAAGUAACGAAGACAAAGGCAGCCAACAAGCCCCACAAAGAGCAAAUGUAUCAUGCAAAAUGCACAAAAAAAAAUGAUACAUAGUAAAGUAACUUUGUCAUAUAUCACAACACUGAUCUGAAAGAAAGCAAGUUCAAUAUGCACACUAUGUAUGUCACAACAGCUAAAUAUAUCAAUGUUAUAUUUUAAAAUAUAAAUAUCUACGGAAGUUUUUCAAACGUGUAUUAUUUUGCCAAAUCAAGAAAAAUCCAGAAAGACAGUGAAACAAAAAAAUAAAUAUAGGGAGUUUUUCACAUGCAUGUUUUUAGAUAGUGAAAUAUUAAUAACAAGGGAAGACCAUGUCAACACAUGAACACACCAUGAACACAUGAAUUGCCAAACAUAACAUUGGAGAAAUUUUUUGCAGAGGCUCCCUCUGGAUUUUGAUGUUUCUAUAGUCCCCACACGUCCCAAGUGCAACUGGUUAAGAGAGCUGAAAUGCAUUCUUCUCCAAAUAUACUGUCGUGAUUUCAAACUUGUAGUUUGCCCUGACGAGACCUGCAUUCUUUGCAAAAUAAAAAUCCGUGUACAGACAGAGGUACAUGAUUUAUCCAAUGUUAACAGAGGAACAUGAUUUUUUUUUUUUUUUACUGGCUAGAAAGAUGUUAUUGAUAUUCUUUAACAAGGUGGGGAAACCCAUUGUCUCAGGUCUGAUGUGCGUCCUAGUCUUACUACAUUCACAAUUCAUUCAAGUAUUGUUGUACUACUAGACAAAUACAGUAAGAUUUGAACUCCAGGGACGUUGAGAAGUGACAGCAACUUAGUUCAUACUCAUGUGCUGAGAAACUUCCUUCUGUACAAAACCUUUAUGGCAUAAAAAUAUUUUUAUUUAGUCAGCUUGAGUGCUCAUCGCAAGCAUGUUCAGAUCUAAACUCCAGAAUCUAGAUCUCAGUAUAGUUUGCUUAAUCAAAUCUACUUAAAAGUGAUUGAAUGGAAAAAAUAAUGCUUCCUCAAUCAAGGUAUUAAUGCCGUUUACACAAACAAAUAUAUAGCCAAAAGAGGAUAUAGCAGGAUAGAGAAAGAAUCUGAAAGAAAUAUCCAGAUAGCUGGUAAAUCCCAAAAAGGAAAGCACCUCGUUGCUUCGACCGCCGCGAACUGCACCAUCCCCAUGUCCUCCUGUACCCUAUCAAUCCUCAAUAGAAAAUCAAAUUAUCCAACAUGCUAACAAAACUCAUAAACAGAGACAAGAGGAUACAUAAACAGGAUAGAGAAAGAGUCUGAAAGAAAUACCUAGAUAGCAGGUUAAUCCCAGAAAGGAAAGCACCUCUUUGCUUUCGCCGCCACGAACUAUGCCACUGCCAUGUUCUUUCAUACCCAACGUGCUAGAAUAAGAGAGAUCAAGAAAGAUCAUGUUUCAUCUACUAUCGUGCUAAGAUAAGAGAACAAGACCCAAAGAUCAAGAAAAUAAUGUCUCCGUACAGGAGAAAGAAGGAAGAGAACCUCAAAAGAAGCACCUCAUGAGGUAGUUGAGGACACUCAAGAACCUGAUCCUAAAAUCCCCAAUUCCAAGGAUAAAGGCUCCUCGAAGAUCAAGAUAUCAUCCUCCAAAUUGAGUAUGAGCUAGCUAACGUGAAGGAGCAGUACCAGGUUGCUAGGGUGGAGGAGCUGACCAUGAUUCCAUUUGAUAGAGAGUAAUGUUAUGUUAACAAACAAUUUUAUAAACUUUCCACAAACUUACCUAGGUGAUUACAUCUAAUAGGUGGAUGUUCACAAAUUGCAGAAGUCAUAACUAAAUCCAGGCAUUCAAACUUAUCAGUUUGUAGAAAAUUUGUAAAAUGGUCAUAGCAUAGCAUUAUUCAUUUGAAAAACUAGUUAUAAUUUAGAUUCAAUGCCAUAUCAAACCUAGAAAGCUUUCACAUACAUCUAAUAUCAAUAAAGUGGAUGAGUCGUUAAGGGCCGAUUGUUACAGAAUCUUUUGGGUGUUUCCCUAGAUAGUUCUUUUUGACAUUUGUGAUCAAUAAGCAACAAGCAUAAUUAUUGUAAUCUUCAACCAUUUAUACUCUAUUUUACUGUUUCCAUAAAACCUUAAUCACGGACUAGUAUACUCCAUCUGUUUCAAAGAUCGUCUACAUAACGGUAAGAAAGAGUAAAGAAUAUCGAAUUAUCCAACACAAAUAUAAAUACAUAGAUCAUGAAAAGAGGUCAAGAAACGGGAACGCAAGAGCAGUUAAUCCGAUCAACGGAAGCACCUCCCAGCUUCGGCCGCCUCGAUCAUCACCGCACUACAAUUAGAAAGAUCAAGGCUCAAAGAUUAACAAAGACAAUGUUUAAUCGAUCACCAUCAUCCUAACAUAAGAGACAAAGAUUCAGGGAUGACAAAAGAUUAAUCCUCUAAGAGGUGGAAAGACGCAAGAAAACCUCCAAUAAAAGACCCCCUCGUGCGAUCCGAUCCAAGAACCCCACUCUAAGACCCGAUCGCCUUCUCACCUCAAGUUCGACGUCGACAGGACGAAAGAAGCUCACCGGCGAUGGAGCUACGGAGAAGGAGAUCGAGGCGGAGUCGAUGACGAGGUCGAGGGCGUCGAGGUUGAGGCAUCGGGUGACGCUCGAUCGGAGAAGAUCGAAGUGUAUGAAGACGGAGCCGGAGAAGACGCAGGAGCCGAGGUCGUAACCCCGCGCCAUGGCGGAGUCGCGGUGGAAAAGUGAUGAGUCCUCCAUGGCGAUGGGGAAUUUGGAUCGUUUGGAAUUUGGGGAGAGAGCUAGCUCCGAAAACACUGGGGAAAGCUCCUUUUAUAGUCGUCUUCCGUAUGAAAUUUUUGUCCGUUGUGGGAGGCGGUGGGGCGUGGGCGUAGCAGAAAGCAAGCGCGAGGCGUAUUUAUGGAAUUUCGCCAGAAUUUUAUGUUUUUGCCCUUUCGGAAGGUGAUGAUAUUUUAAUUGUCAAGGUGAAAUAUUUAUGAUUCAAUUUAUUACAUAAUAAUAAAUUAGCAAUAGUAUAUAUUUUUUAAAAAAAGGUAAAGUACAUUGUAUUAUUGAAAAAUUUCAGAUUUUUAGCACGUUCGAAAACGUUUGGAUUGACAAAUCAGUAGAUUUAACAUAAUUCAAGUACAGUGAUAUUUAAAUUUUUUAAAGUGUGAUUAUUUUUUUAUUAUUUAUUUUGACGUAACUUGUACGGUUUGAAAAUUAAAUUUAAUUACUUCAUUUUUUAUUUUAAUGUAAUUUGGUGUUGGUGAAAUUAAUUUUUUGUAGUUACAUUGUUUGUUUUGAUGUAAGUAAGUGGAUUACGUUAUCUUCUGAAUAUAGUGAUAAAUUUACCGUUAUAAAAUUUAACAUAUUAAAUAAUUAAUUUUUUUAUUAUUAUUUAAAGGUAAUCAUAAUUUAUUAUAAAUAAAAUAAUUCUAAUCUAUUAUAAAGGAAGUAAAGUUUAGAUUUUACUAUUUAAUAAAUUUUUUUAGAAAAAAUUAAGCGUAGUAGAAGUCGCGUUCGGCACUUGAAAGAGAAAAGUCGAGAGUAGGUGAAAUAAAGAUCUAAUGUAACUUAAGUUACACUAUAUUUUUGACUUAUAUACCAAAACAAACAGCCCAAGAAGAAAAUCCUACUUGUGAACAAAUAUGGGGAAAUCCGAGCUCCACCUAUAAUAAUUUAUUUUAUUUAAUUUAGUUAGAAGGAUACCACAUAGACCUAGCAAACGAGCAGAUUGGAUAAUCCGCGGGCGGGUUAUUGUACCCGCGGGUUAUUUGGGUAUAGGUAAAAUUUAUCCGUAAAUUUUUAGGUAGCCAACAUUUUUAUCCAUACCCACCCACGGGUGGGCGGGUGGGGAUGCGGAUUACCGGCAAAUUUCUUUUUUUGUUCUUAUAUUUUUUAAAUGCAAAACAUAUAUAUAUAUAUAUAUAUAGGUACUAUAUAGCUAGUAUAUAUAUAUAUAUAUAUAUAUAUAUAAAAGUUUUAAAAGCAUAAUAUAACUCAUUAUUUAAAAUAUCAUAGCAUACAAUAAAAAUAUUUAAAAUUUUAAAGCAAAAAUAUUUUACAAUAUAAAAGACACGCAAUAAGAAAUUAGUAUUAGAAUUUUUAGAAUGGGUAAAUAAAAAAAAUAUAUUUUGUAUUUAAAAAAUAUAUGUGCGGGUAUCCAUAGGUACCCGCGGUUUACCCAAAAUACCCACAACUUAAUGGGUACCCAUCCGUUUUAUCCGUAAUUUUUGAAUUGUAAAAGUUGGCACUCAUACCCGCAAAUUUGCUGGUAAUACGCGGGCACCCGCAGGUUUGGAUCGGGAUUGACCGGUCUAAUUUACGACACACACAGGGAGAGUGAAAGAGACGAGACCUGAGCAAAAAGGCCCGCCGGAUUUUAUUGGGCUGGUUCUGGGUUUUCCCCUCCUUCGUUGGACCGGGUGCUUUCUAGCACAAUUAAUUUUGAACGGGCUUAGGCCUGAAAUUAUACAAUAUUUUAAAAGAAAAGGUUCCAAACUUAGGUCCAACCGAAGGUUUGCUUAGGUAUAUCAAUAUGACGCUGAGUAGACUACUGCGUUGCGCCGGAGUUUCUACUGCCAUUCACCGUUUCUAUCCCGUCUCAGUGAGCCCAGAUUUAAUCCUUCAUCUCCGUUUUUUCUUUUUCUUUUUUCUUUUAAAUUCACUACAUUUGUACGGUAAUAGUUCGAUUAUUUCUCUCUUAAUUUGAGAAGUUUUUUAGCUGAGAAUGAACGAGUCUAUACUUUGUUGAUUUUUGAGUCAUAGGGGAAAGAUUCGAUGAAUAAUGGGCGUUGCAUAAUGAAUCUCCUUGUUCUCUGCAAUCGCCAGUGGAUUUUUUGGGCACAUAGUAGUUAGUUCAAAGGUCGGGCUUAGAACGGAUCAUAAGUGGUUUGCCCAAAACUUGCAGUUUUGGAGAUUAGGGACGUUGUGCCCUAAUGUUCGGUAUCUCUGAGUUCUAGUUUCAUCAAAAUAAAAUUGGAUGUGCGAAGAAGAAAAAAAGAAGAAGAAGAAGAUCAAUUAGAAGCUCCUACAUUGUGAAGCAAAGUUAGGAUUACGAGGCAGGGAGAGGGAAAGUGAAGGAGCUGAAGAAAAAUCUUGUUAGACUUGGUUUGCUAUGUGUUUCCAUUCUUUGAUGGACAUUCUCCUUUGAUGUUUAGGUCGGAAAUCAACAGUUUGUAUUCUGGAUCAUGGCGAGUACGGCGUGCUUUGUUAUCGUCAGUCGGAACGACAUUCCUAUAUACGAGGCCGAAGUCGGCUCUGUGCUCAAGGCAUUACUUCUUUCUCGUUGCUUAUCCUGAUUGAAACAAAUUUGAACCAUGUAAAAUGCAAUGCAUCUUAAUGGCUUCUAACAUGUUGCUAACUUACUAACAUCUUAAUCUUAGAUGCAUCUCAUUAUAUUUCUUAGUAAUUAUAGUAAAAUGAUUUUAAUCUGACGCUGCAGUUUUAGUAGGUUAAUCAAUGUUAUGGUAUUAAAUGAGCCUAUCUGCCAAUUUGCAUUGUCUCCUCUUUCGGACAAUUACAUUACUUUGUCUUAUGUGCGUAGUCGUUUCAUCUUCCGAGUCGCAUGAAAUUAGUGAGUUUGUUGUUUUUGAUGACCAUUUGAGGAAAAUAACAUAGUUGUGUUACUUCGAUUUUGAAUUUAAAGUUACAAGUGGCAAUGGAACAAUCAUAAAGAUUUCUGUUAAUCUGAUGGCAGAAAGAAGAAGCUGCACAUCUGCACCAGUUUAUUUUACAUGCUGCACUGGAUAUCGUUCAAGAUCUUGCUUGGACCACAAGUGCUAUGUGAGGUUCUACACUCUGUUGGAUUACUAUAUUAUGCUUUUUUCUCUGGAAGGUUUCGUGUCGGAAUUCGCCUGUACAGGUUUUUGAAGUCGGUGGACCGGUUCAACGAUUUGGUGGUCUCUGUUUAUGUCACUGCUGGUCAUAUCCUACGUUAAAGUACUUUGAUUCACAUUCUGCAUAAAUAUUUGAUGAUCUUUCUACAAUUUGAUUAUAUUAAGUAAAAGUACUUUGAUUCACAUUCUGCACAAAUAUUUGAUGAUUUUUCUACAAUUUGAUUAUAUUCCUUAAAGGAUGUGUUUUAUGCAUUGAUUGGUUAUAUCUCAAGUCUAUUAAUUGCUUUUUUUCUCACUCCUUAAAUAAAUCAUUCACAUUUUCCUUAACGUACCAAUUUGUACACACUAGAUUGAUGUUGCUACAUGAUUCCCGUAAUGAAGAUGGGAUAAAAAGCUUCUUUCAAGAUGUCCAUGAAUUAUAUUUAAAGGUAACACUACUAAUCACAUUUGUCCCUUUACUAAUGUGAUUCUUCAUCUUUGAUUUUUCAAGGCAGUUCGUUUGACCAUAACUGAGAUAAUCCACUUUUGUCAUGGAUUUAGGUAAUGGUCUGAGAAAAUGUUCUAGUAUAAAGUUUAGUUUGACACGGAAAUCAACCUAGCUCUCUCAAACUUUAUCAUGGAAAUGCAACCCCAUUUAGCUCAGCUUUCUGACUUUUCUUGGCUAUAUCUUGUUUGCCUUAUCAUGAUGUGUCCUUUUCAGUAAGAAAAUUAACAGAUGAAACCUGAUCAUCAAUUGUAAGGUUGUGCUAUCUGGUGAAGGAUUUAAUUAUUGCUGUUAAGUUUUUGAUUUUGCACGUUGCCUCCAUUGAAAAUAAGCACUAUGAUUAGCUAGCUGGAUACCUAACCUUUUCAAAAAAGUGCACUUACCCCAUCUCAACAUCUUCAUCCGAGCUGUUUCCUUCUUUCAAAAAUAUGUCAUCAUUGUCUUAUAUCUAAAGUUGAAACUGUGACAUAGCAUUCAUAUCUGCUUUAGAUAAUGCAUCCUAUUUUCAAACCCCCAAGAAAUUCCCUUUUCUCCGUUUAAUAUUACGGUAUGCAGUACAGACAUUUAUAUCUUUAUAAAUUGUGAAUAAUAUGUGGGAAUAAAAUGAUUUGAUUGAGGAGUAGCUGAUUGAAACUUGAUUGAGAACCUUCACAACAAAAUUAUUGUGCACUCAUUAUUUGUAGACCCACACCAUUAAAUGCCUGAGAAUUAAAAAGAAGGUUUUCAAGGUGUUCUAUCAUACAUUACGUGUUAAAGAAUAGUCAGCAUAUUUUUUAAAAGGCAUCUAAAUUGAAUUGCUAUGUUGUCGGUUAAAAUCCUCAUGGCUUAGAUCUCAUAUGAACCAAAUUCAAUUGAGUCGGUGUGUUUCCAGUGGAAAAACAUCACAGAAGCCAUAAUGUGAACAUAUUUGAUGCAUUAGCGUUUUUCUCCCUGAAAGCACGAUUUUCCGGCUAUGAAAAUACCCAGAAAACUACACUAUGAUCAAUGAAGGGAUGCAAAUGGAUCUAGGUUAGUGGAGCCUCUGCUCCUUACCGCCCUGAAUGGGGCGGUAAGUGGGCGCCAAAAAUAAAGAAAAAAAUAACUCUUCCCGAAUUUAUCCCGAUCUGCUAAGAAAACGGAACAGAACAUGGGGACCCCUUCUUUCUUUUGAUCCAUCUCAAUCCGCCAAAAAUUUGCUCCCAUUCUGAUCUGGUCCCGAAUUGAGCGAUAAGUGAGAACCAAAAAUAAGAUAAAAAUCAAACCUCCCUGAAUCCACCCUGACCUAUGAAGGAAAUGGGGCGGAAGGUGGGAGACCGUAUUUGGAUCCCUAGAUUAAUGAUGUGGACAUUCUGCUUGGAUGACUCAUAAUUUGCUUUGCACUAUAAAAUUCAGUAACAAAAAUUUAGUGGAAUCUGUGUAAUUCGUGUUUAACAAAGAUUGACUCAGCCAAGAGAAGGGAUUGUUUAAUGCCACCUUAAAUUUUAGUUGCCAUAAAUUUCGUCUUAAUCUAUCCUAGAAGCUUCUUGGCUUGCUAGGGAUGUUACCAGUCUUUGGUGAUGUGUCUACAUUGCAUAAAGAUCAGAUAUCUUGAUGCCACACUUCUCGCUCUGGAAAGAUGAUUUUUUCCCCCCUUUUUAUGUGAUUUAAUUAGCAUUUUGAUGUUUUAGAUUGCCGCUUUGCUGUAAUGAUCGUUAGUGGCAACUGCUGACUAACAUUAAUUUUAUGAUGUAUUUAAACAGAUUCUCCUGAAUCCACUCUAUUUACCUGGAUCACGAAUUACAUCAUCACACUUCGAUACCAAAGUCCGAGCCCUUGCGAGGAAAUAUCUGUAAUUACUACAGUUGUGGUUUUGCUUUCUAAGGUUUUGUUGCUGAGUCUGAUCACAUGCUCUUCUAUGCCCUAAUAUUGUGAUUAUCAUUUGGCUUUACUGUUUAAUUCUUUGGCAAAGCAUCUGCUAUUCUUCUAUAAAACAGUUUGUAGUGUAGUUUGGGAGAAUCUGGUUCUAUCAUUAUAUCAGUAAUCUUGCACUUUAAAUUUCUCUUUUGUAAUGCCUCUACCAAUGCUUUCAAGAUUGUUGACACACAUUUAGUUUUUGCCUUUGAUGGCCUUGAUCACGAAAUUAUUCCCAACUUUUGAAGUAGCACUGCAGAACAUUAUGUGGCUGAGCACAAAGUAUUUAUAAAUGGCCAUAAUCUUUACCUUGUCUACCUCGAAACUUUUUGCGGCCUGCUUCUCUUAAAAUACAAAUAUUCGUAGAUACUAAAGGGUUUUACGGCAUAUAAUGCAACUUUUAGAAAAUUGCUUCAGAAGCAAAAAUCCCUUGCUAGAUAAACUUAACACUAAUUUUGUCUAGCCCAGUGUAAAAAUAUUGGUCCUUGGCUGAAUGCAUAUAAAGUUUACACUUCAUUUUUUGAUGCACGAGUAGCAUUUCUCUUUCAAUGUUGAUCACUGGCUCGCUUUGAACAAAUCGAGGCAACUAGCAGAUAGGAGCUCGCGGUUCCAGAACUUCUCGUAGUACUCUCCGUAAGUGAAACUUCUAUAUCUGAGAGGAUGAUCGUCGUCGACGAGAGCCUCAGCUGGUUCUAUAACCGCGUCCGGAGAUGGACAGUAGAAGGUCGGGACGGAGAUCCUCUCGCUUUUGUUGUUUACGAUCACGCGGUGAAGUACGCUCUUGUAGCGGUCAUUGCUGAGCACCUGCGAAAGACGGAAAGAAAUGCUUUGUUGGUGUUUGAUUCAUUGCAGAAUGGAACGAAGGUCUGAUGAAGACUGUUCAUGUCCAUGUUACUUGCCUGUAUUUGAUCGCCCAUGUUGAUGAUUAACGCAUUCGGUACGGGCUCGACGGCCACCCACUUCUGGCCGCGGAGAACCUGCAAGCCGGAGACGCCGUCUGGGAGCAGUACGGUGAUGGCGUUGGGGUCUUUGUGGCCCGGGAGACCGUAGGUCAGCUCGGGCUGUGGGCAUGGCGGGUAGUAGUUUAUCGCCAUGUGCUGUGCCUGCUUCCCCAUUGCCUUCACCAUGUGAUCCCUUUCUAGUCCCAAGCUCUCCGAUAUCCCCUCCAGUAGUCGCACUGCGAGCGCUCUCGCAUGUUUCGAAUAUUCGCCCACUACUUGCCUGUAGAUGUGACCGGCUAUACAUAAAUAUUUUAUUCCGCAUAUUUUUUUUUAUUUUAAAAAUUUUGUUCAAAGUUUGAUAUUAUAUUCGGACAGUGAAUUAUUUUUUUAGAUAAAAUAAAGGAUUAAUUGCAUACAAUUAUUUGUAAAUAUAGUGAAUUAUAAAUAUAUAUUCUUAUAAAAUUUAACUUUAUUAUAUUAUUUCUAUAAAAGUCCAGUAAUAUUCAUAUUUGUUCCUCUGAUCUGUUACUGUCAGAGUGUCAGAAAUUUAUUUACUUUUUAAUAGUAAAUAAGUGAAAUGUUAAUUUUGUCAUCACAAUAAAAAUAUUUUUGCAGACAUAACAUAAGAAAGCUAAACUUUGUAGGGAUAUAUUUGUAAUUUGUUAUGUUUACAGAAAACUGUAUGCAAUUAAUCGUAAAAUAAAUUACUUUAUUAGUGAAAUAUGCUAUCCAGCCUAGGUAAUAAAAAAUUUUGAGUAAAAAUUGAACUCUUUUUUUCACAACCAUAAUAGAAAAGACACCGAAUCAAACAGGUCCAAAAAUUAGAUUUCGCUUGACUCGUGGUUUUCAGUCUUUAAAUAAAUAAUAUUCUUGGCAGAAAAAUUGUUGGUUUCUUCAUUAAAUCCCCAUUAGUUUCGUUUAAGCUAUAACCUUUCUCCACACUGAAAGAUCCAAAAGCAUCUCUUUAUUAAAAAAAUUAAAACAGAAGAAAUGCAAAGCCUACAAGCCAAAAGAAGUUUCAACUCUUAUCCUAUAGUUUAUAUAAAUUAUUUAAAAAUUUUAGUAUUUAGAAAAAACAAGAAAGUAAAAAAGGAGAAUGAUAUGAUUAGUCUGAAAAAGUUUAGCCUACGAAUGAAUUAAUUAUAAAAUUAUAAUUAAAAAGUGAUUGUAAAUGGAGCGUUACUCUUUAAAACAAAAGGCUUCUGGCCAAGUAUGGUCUGCACCCGUUUUGUUAAUGUUUACCUUAUGCGUUCAAUUCAACCCUGCAACGGCGGUGUUUGGCUUAGCUUUUAAAAAGUAUUUUUGGGUUGAAAAGUGAUUUUCACUUCAAUAAAGCGUUUGGCAACUUUAUUUUUAAAAUCUGAUUCUAUUUUUCAGAAUCAGAAAAAUAAUUUUGAAGGCUCCAGAACCAGAAGCAGAAAAAAGCUGCUUCUUGAAAUCUGAUUCUGAUUUUAGAUUCAAACUUUAAAUUUUUAUUUUAAUUUUAAAUUCAAUAUUUAAAUUUAAAUUUAAUUUUAAAUUUUAAUUUUCAGAUUCAUAUUUGAAUUUGUAAAUUUUAACUUUUAAAUUUUAAAAUUUUAAAAAUAGAUUUCAAACUUUAAAUUUUAAAUUUUAAUUUUAAAUUUCAAAUCUCAAAUUUUAGAUUUUAAAAUUUUAAAUUUCAAAUUUAAGAUUAAAUUUAAAUUUUGAAAUUUUAGAAGUUAAAUUUAAAAUUUUAAAAAUUUUAAAAUUUAAAUUACAAGUUUUAAUCUACAAAUUAUAAAUUUCAAAAUUUUAAAAUUUAAAAUUUUAAAAUUUAUAAUUUGUAGAUUAAAACUUGUAAUUUAAAAAAUUUUAAAUUAUUUUAAAAUAAAAUUUAAUAAAAAUAUUAAUUUAUUUAAACAUAAAAAAAUUUGCAGUUUUUCAAAAUCACUUCUGAAAAAUCGCUUUUAUCUAAACUCAACCAAAUCGAAGUCUUGCCCGACACAACAUUUACAGACUCAAUGUUAUUGACAAGGUCAGGGCCGUUGACAACUAAAAAGGGCCCUGACAGAAAGGCACAAGACUCGACUUGGUCGGGCAUGGCCGGUGAGAGCAAAAUGAUCACCAAGACACUACGCUUUUAGCGAAGCGGGCUUCUGGGAUCCCGAUUUGUGGUCAAGACAGACAAUGUCGCUCUGAGUUACUUUCAGACUCAGAAGAUGCUCACUCCGAAACAGGCGAGAUGGCAAGACUUCCUAGCAGAGUUCGACAUGGUUUUGGAGUACAAGCCAGGACGAUGUAACCAAGUCGCUGACGCUCUCAGCAGAAAGGCCGAACUUGCCGCUUCACUUGUGCUACACAUCCAAGGGGACAUUGGUUUCGCUAACGAUGGCCGCUUAUGAUAGCACAAGUGUACCCGCAGGUAGCCAACCGGAUGCCAAUUUACAUGCAAUGCCCAUCCAAAAUAAGGAAAAUCCUAUGUCGAAGUCUUGCCCGACACAACUUUUAACCAAAAUCAGUUCUCCAAAUCAAAAUCACUUUUUUAGAAAUCACUUUUUCAAAAAUUAGGCCAAACAGACCCAAUAUUUUAUUGGACGAUAAGUAUUAAAAUAUAAACUUAAAUAAAACAACCUAACAGAUUCCCCAGGUACAUAACCAAUUACUCCGGGUUUUGCUGCUAAACACGUAGUCAAUUUGAGUGACACAGAACAAACAGGCUAAGGCACGUACUUGAAAUCUGGAGGAUUGCAGGGCCAUUCACGGAUGAAAUCCUCGAGCGGGUAGCAGUGGAGCCUCAGGAAGUCCCUCCAGUUGCUGACCUUCUCCGUCCGCACGUUGAAGCUCGUCGACAGCCUCGUCGUUCUCGACGGAUCGUCGGAGUAGCACUUCAGCCUCUCUGCCUCCGGUAAGUGAAAGAACUCUCUCGCAACUCGCAGCAUCUCUCUAACAACUUCCUCCGGGAUGCCGUGAUUCUUAACCUGCGUAUUAAACAUACAAUAUAAACCUUAAAAAUAUCAUUCUCUAACAAUUUUAGUAGUUAAAGACAAAUGAUUGUUUUAUAUUAUUUAGAUUAAUACGUGCUUGGCUUAUUUAAAUUAUAGACUAUUUUGAAAUGUCUAUUCAAAAUUUUAAUUUUUUAUUAUUUAAUAUUUUAAUUUAUUUAAUUUGAAUCAAUCAGUAUUACUAUAGCUUUAAAAAUUAAAUUAAUUAAGUACUUUAAUGACUUGUAGCUACGCGAAUUGUAUAAAGCAUGAUACCUUAACUAACCUAAGAGAAUAAACGAUGCAUUAAAGUGCCAUUGACUAGCUCAAAUCAAACAGAUUAAAAAAUUUGAUAGUAAAAUUAAAAUUUUUAAAAUUUAGAUAGCCAUUUUAAAAUGGUCUAUGAUUCAAAUAAGUUUGUACAUAUUUUACCUAUUAUUCAAUACAAUAUUAAAAUAGGAGGUCGUAAAUUCGAUUACCAUAAAGAAUCCAUCAGUUCGGCAUGCGGAGCCGAUUUCUUUGAUUACAUCAGAGCGAGCGGGGCCGAGCAAUCCAUGAAGGUCGAUGAGGGGGACGGAGGUGGAGGAUUCGACAUCGAGGAGGUUUGGGCGGUCGCCGACGGGCCUAAUGUAGUUGGAAGGGACAUGGUUGGAGCUGGAUAUAGCUCGAUCAGUUAGGAGGAGCUUGGACUCUGCUGGUGCCAUGGAGGUAAAAUAACGAUCACUUCUGGGUGGGAAAAAAAAAGCCUAAUUAGUAUGCUAUGCUUCCAACAUGCGAGUUUCGGCUUCCUUUCCGAAAUCAUUCCUAUUUAUAGAUCAUCUGUGCUCCAUGCUUUUGAACAGUCCACAAUAAGUCAAAUUAAAAUAGGAUUUGUCUACGCACUUCAAUCCAUAUAUAUAACCAUUUGUUCCAAUUUGCAAUUUACUUCUAUCUCACGUAAAACAUUUUAUAAAGAUAAAUUAACUAAUAAUGUUAAUUACAUUGAAUAGAAUUAAGUUGGAUAAAUUGCUUCAGUAAAAAACAAAAAUAAAUUUGGUGUUCGAUCUACUAAUUAAGUCGUAACUUAAAUAAGUGUUCACACUCGUAAAGAGCAUUAAUACUACAUCUCCGAUUUCUUUUGGGUAUAAUCUUUUAUCAUUUAAAGACUAAUAAGAUGAAUCUCUAAGCUUAUCCUUUUAUUAUUUUUUUACGAGUAAAGUUUAAAAUAAAUUAUACAAAUUCUUACGGAGGACAGUGCGAACUUAAGCAUUUCGCUUACGUGAUUAAUGACGUAGCUUAUGCGAUGCUUGUGGUGACGCAACUUCUGUGACGUGCGAGACUUGUCCAUCGUUGUGGCCUAUUUGAGAAAUAUAUAUAUAUAUAUAUAUAUAUAUAGUAGGGCUAGAAUACUUGUAAAAGUAUCAUGGGGGUGAUAUUUAUGUGUUUUUAGUCCUUGGAUGGAGAGAUGUGAGGUUGAGAUGAUGGUGGUAGGUGAUGGUAGGUGGUGGUAGGUGGAAUAGUGUUUAAUCCAAGAACUAUUAAUAAUCAAAAAGUAGAUCCAAUGACUUAAAAUCUAAUAGCACCAUGAUGAUAAUACUUGUUAAAGUAUCAUAGCUCAACUCUAUAUAUAUAUAUAUAUAUAUAUAUACUUUUUCUUAUUAUUUUAUUUUAUUUCAUUGUUUUUAUGUUUUUCGUGUCUUGAUAUACGACAGUCGACAGAGCACUAUUUUUCAUGUGAUUUCUGGAACGGGAAAGAUGACGCAAAUAUGCUGACGUCAUACAUGGAUGCCUUGCCAUCGUACGAGUGGUUUAGAUACGAUUACCGAGCUGGUGAGGGAGGCUUUAUCGACAGCUUGUGCCGUCCGGCACCAAUGUUGGUACGAGAUAUUAUGCAAGCGCCAAGCAGCGGAAUAAUUUGUACAAUAAAAUAAUUAUAUAUAAAAAAUAAUUUAUAGUUUAGAAUAAUACUGCAAUAAUUUAAAAAUCGCAUUGACCUGACUUGUUCGACCUACCGUGACCUAAUUUAUACGGCAGGUUAUGUUCGCUCUUUUAAACAGAAUAAGAGCAUAUGCUUGGUUGAUAUAAAGUAAAUAAUAAAAAGUGAAAUUUUUAAAAGGCCAAUUUGUAUAAAAAAUAUACUAACUUUAGACUUUUGCAAAAUUAGACUGUCUUUUUUGAUUUUACAGAUUUAGUCCGAAUUUUCAACAAACUGACCAAAAUACCCUUAUUACUUUUUCUCUCUCAUCUUUGUUUCUUUCGUUCUUUUUUUUUUUCUCUCGCCGAAAAAGUAGCGGAGUCAGGGUAGAGGCGGAGGCGGAAAUGACCCGCCUCGCUUCUCACUCUCAUGCUCUCGCCCUCGCCCUUGCCCUUGCCCACGUACCCUCCACCUUCCUCACCUCCGACCCCACCGAGAUCGUGCCGCACUGCGACUUUUUUUUUCCCCUCUCCGACCCUCCUCCACCGCCUCCGACGACCUCCUCCACCGUUUCUGACGACGACGCCUUUCUCGUCCUUUCCCCGCCCUUCUCGUCUUCUUCCUCUCUCUCAUCCUCUGCCGCAUCCUGAGGAUCAAAAUGGCUACCUAAGAGGGGUGGUGAAUUAGGUUUCUAAAAUAAAAAUCCAAAUAAUCAAGCAAAUUAAAAAACCGAUGCAAAUAAAAGAAAUGCAAACUCGAAAAGCACACGAUCAAUUUGUUUCGAGGUUCGGCAUUUUGCCUACGUCCCCGCCAACUUCUCAACACUCGAGAAUGUUGGAUCUCCACUAGAUGAUGCUUUUGCGGGCAAGCACCAAGCCUUCACAUCAACUCCUUCUUCUUUCAAGCUUCAAGAAUUUGCUUCUCUCUCUUUUUACAAGAUUAAAUCUCACUACAAGUUUUCACUCAAGUUUAGAGAGAGAAUUGAGAGCUAAGAGUAUUAAGAUCACUGAAGUUUUUAAGCUCAAAUAAACUCUCAAGUUGCUACUGAGAGAGGCCUCAAUAUCAUCUAUUUAUAGCCUCGAGCAGCUUCUGUCGGUUGCACUUUCGGGCGCCCUAAACUAUUUUCGGGCACCCAGAAGUUUGUGCAUGCCAGCUGCCUGUCAGCCCACGUGCGUCGUUUUUCUUGACUUUGUAUGUUUGGACCGUCAAAAAUUUGUGGGCGCCCAGAUCUCGAGGAACAGCUUUUCUGACACGCGCAGCUUUUCUUGACUUCGUAAGUUCUGGACCGUCAAAAGUUGUGGGCGCACAGAACACGAGAAACAGCUUUUCUGACAGGUGCCGCUUCCUCUGGAUUUGGGCCGUCAGAAAGUUGUGGGCGCCCAGAUCUCGAGGGACAACUUUUCUGACAUGCGCCGUUUUUCUGGAUUCGAGUCGUCAAAAGUUGUGGGCGCCCAGAAAGUCGUGCUGACUUUCUUGCCAGACAGCCCAGAUUGCGUGCGCCGCUGCUUCCGUAAAAUCUGGGCGCCCAGAUUUUGCGCCGCCUGUUGUCGCAACCUGUCAAGUCAAAUAGUCUUGCUGUUUCUGGAUCACCCGAACAGCAAACAGGCAGGAUCCAAAAGGUCUCAAAAGAUUCGGAUCCACUUUAGGGCGUCCAUAACAGGGUCCAGAAAUUGCAACUUUACAGAACACAGAAUUUGAGCGAUUUUUGAAUAUUUAAAAGUCCUUUUCACCUAAUCAUAAAUUUAGAAAUUUGUUUAAGUGAUCUAUAAGGUGAAUAGUUUAAACUUAACUCAAAGUUUCUCACUCUAAUCAUAAUAUUAAUCAAAUUAAGAAUGAAGAGAGUGAGUUUGUCUAUUUGACAAAAGAAGCAAACACAGCUUCAAGUGGUGAAGCUUGGUACUAGAAUAUUGCCCAUAUUAAAUCCUUUUUGAAGAUAGAGAGAUCUAAAACACAAGACCCAAGAUAAAAGAUUAGUCCAAUAAUCGUGAUUAUUUGUUAUCAUCAAAAUCUAAUAGACGAUUAGGACCACUGGGCCAACACAUCCGACGAGAACGCAUCUUUGUCGACCCCGACACCGUGGAGGUUGCUGCGGAACUGCAGCCUCGAAGCGGGGUGUCCUUAGCGGCGGCGUCGCGGGCGUUGUGGCUAUUGGCAAAGACGGAUGACCAAAAAAAAAUAAAAGAAACAAGAAAAAAAAUAAAAAUAAAAAAUUAUAGAAAAAGAAUGAUGAAAAUGAAAUUGCAUCGUUAACUGCAAAAAAAAAAUAUAAGUUGCACUACUUAAGAUGUAAACUGCAGUUUUAAGAUUAAAAUUAUACUUUUUAAACGAAAAUUAUACUCUAUGGGAGAUAUUUAAACUGUUUCUCCUCUUAUUGCACUCUUUUAGAUGUAAACUAUAUCAAUUAAGAUGAAAGUUAUACUCUUUAAACGAAAGUUGCACUAUUUGAGAGAUAUUUACACUGUUUCUCCUCUUUUUGCACUUUUUGAGAUGUAAACUGCACCCCUUUAUGAGAUAUUUAUACUGUUUGUCCUCUUGUUACACUAUUUCUCCUCUUAUUAUACUGUUUCUCCUCUUAAAGGGUACAGUUUAAGAUAAAAAAUAAUAAGUAAAUUUUUUAUGCAAAUUGAAACAAAGUCGUAAUAAAUUAUUAUUACACUUUUUACUAAUUCUCCUAUUGUUACAUAAUUUUUUACCUUAAACUGGACCCUUUAAGAGGAGAAAUAUUGUAAUAAGAAAAGAAAUAGUACAACAAGAGUAAAAACAGUGUAACAAGAAGAGAAACAGUAUAAAUAUCUCUUAAAAGGGUGCAGUUUACAUCUCAAAGAGUACAAGAAGAGGAGAAACAGUGUAAAUAUUUCUCAAAGAGUGCAACUUUAGUUUAAAAAGAGUAACUUUCAUCUUAAUGGAUACAAUUUAUAUCUAAAAGAGUGCAAUAAGAGGAGAAACAGUGUAAAUAUCUCCCAAAGAGUAUAAUUUUCGUUUAAAAAGUGUAAUUUUCAUCUUAAAGCUCUAGUUUACAUCUUAAGUAGUACAAUUUAUAAUUUUUUUUGCAGCUAACGAUACAAUUUCAUCUUCAUCCUCCUUUUUCCAUAAUUUUUUAUCUUCAUUUUUUUUUCUUGUUUCUUUUAUAAUUUUUUUUGGUGACCCAUCUCUGCCAAUAACCACGGCGCCGGCGACACCGCCGCUAAGAACCCCCUGCUCCGAGGUUGCAGUUCCACAGCAACUUCCACGGUGUCGGCGUAGACGAAAAUGCGUCGUUGUCGGAGGCGGCAGAGGAGGGAGAGUGAGAGGACGAGAAGGAUGAGGAAGGGCGAGAGAGGCGUCGCCGUCGAAAACGGACGGUGGAGGAGAGUCGAAGUGGAAAAAAAAAAAGUCGCGGCUUAACAUUGUCAACAAACUACGAAUAACAUCUGCAGACAUAUAUUCAUAACGAUUUACAGUAAAAGGCAGGUAAAAAAAAAAAAAAAAACAAAGAGUCACGGCGCGGUCUCGGUAGGGUCGGAGGCGAGGAAGGUGGGGGGUGCGUGGGCAAGGAUAAGGGCGAGGGCGAAAGCAUGAGGGUGAGAGGCGAGGCAGACCGUUUUCGCCUCCACCUCUGCUUCCACUACUUUUUUCGACGAAAAAAAAAAGAAAAAAAAAGGAACGAGAGAAACGAAGAGAAGAGAGAAAGAGAAAAGAGAAAAAAUAAUAAGGGUAUUUCUAUUAGUUUGCUAAAAAUUUAAACUGAAUCUGCAAAAUUAAAAAAAACGGUCCAAUUUUAUAAAAAUUUAAAAUUAAUAAAUUUUUUAUGUAAAUUGAUUUUUUUUUUUCUAACACUCUCUCUUUCUCUCUCAUGCCACUUUUUAGUUUAUUUUUCUCCACGCCCUUUUAUUAUGGUACUCCCUCCCUUUAAUAUCUGUGCCGUACCGACAACAACGUUCUUCCUUCACCCUAUAGCGUCAACAAUAUCCCACUAUAUGCACGCACACAUAUUUUUUACCAUCAAUUUUUUUAUUAUUUAAUAAUUUAUAAGCAUCCACAUAUAAAAAAAAUUAAAGAGUUUAAAAUUCUGUUAAUCACUUAUUAAACAAAUCAAAUAGCAAAAAGUGAUAUUCACUUUCUAAAUAACUACUUUCUCUGCAUAAUAUCACCAAUUUUUUUUUUUUCACCAAUCAAGGAUGUCCUAAGUAAAAAUCAUUUCAAAUCAUUCAAACUAGCGUUUCAAUUAUUGAAUCGUGAACCAUAUAGUUUUAAUCAAACUGGUUGUUUUUUUUUAUCAAGUCAUAUAAAAUCCAAUGACUUAAAAUCAACUUAAUUUGGUGGUCCCUUAGUGUUUAGUGGGUGGUUGAAUAAUAUGAUCUAAAUGAUAAAAUUGAUUAAAAUGUAGAUCCAACAACUCAUAUUGGGUCCUUAUCUAAUUAAUAUUUUUUAUGCUAAACAGUAAAAUACUUUCCAAACUUUAGGAUGACAGUAUAUAAAGUUUAUAUACUUUUUAGAUUAUAAAUAGUAAUUUUCUUAUAUUUUCAAAAUAAAAUAAAAAUUUUUAAUCAAAUGUUAUUGUUUUUAGGCAAAAAUAUAUAGAAUUUAUAUGAACUAUGGACCAUUUUAAAUCAAUUAUCCAAUCUCUCAAAAUUUUAAUUUUAUUAUACAAUCUUUUAAUAUGUUUGAUUUAACAUACUCAACAGAAUUUUGACAUUAAUAUUUGAAUUUAUUUUAUCUUUACAGGUUUAGUAAUUUUAACUAAUAUAUUUUGUGCAAUUCUUGCAAUAAUAAAUUUAUUUAAAUCAACUAUUUCUAGCGCAAGUAGUAAAGAGGUUGACCGUUGGUAUCUGAGGUUUCAAAUUGGAAGCUUGAUUACUUUACAUUUCUAGCUAAUUUUAUUAUAAAAUGGGUUUAGCAAGUUUAGUUAGUAUAUUAUACUUAGUGUAAUUUUGGAACUAUAAAUUUAUUUAAAUCAAUCAUUUCUACUGCAAGUAGCAAAGAGGCUAUCGGUUGGUACAUGAGGUUUCAAAUUUAAAAGCUAGUUAUUUAAUGUUUUUAUUUAAUUUUAUUAUAAAAAAUAAACAAAAAAAGUAUGAUAUCUUUCUCUAAAAAAAUUAUAAAUUUAUUAACUAAAAUUUUAAAAUUAAAAAUAUUAUUGAUCGACAGAAAUCAAAUAAAUUAAAAAUUAAAUAGUAAUAUUAAAAUUUUAAAAAUUUAGAAAGUUAAUUUAAAAUGUUUCAUAAUUAAUCCUUAUGUACCUUCCACAUCAGACGUGUAGUACUAGACUACUAGUACAAGCUAGAAGAAGGACGUAAAAUCAUGCACUAGUAGGUGUGUUAGGUGCGUCCCUACGGACUUUUCUUGUUAAAAAAUGCUAUUUGUACCGUGUAAAUUCGUAGAUUAUAUACCUUUCAUUAAAGGCUUUUUGCAAAAAAAAAUUUAUUAAUUUUGAACUUUUACAAAAUUAGAUUAUUAUUUUUAAUUUUGCAGAUUCGAUUCAAAUUUUUAACAAACUAAUCAAAAUACUCUUAUUAUUUUUUCUCUUUUCUCUUUUUUUUUUCCUCGUUCUUUUUUUCUCUCUUCGCUUCUACGCCGUCUCCCGCCUCGCCCUUUGCUACGACCGUCGCUCCGACAGCAUCGGCGAUGCGGCGCUGGCGGCCGUGGCCCUCUGCUGUCCCGCCCUCCAUAAGCUCUCUGUUGCCUCCUGCUCCUACGGCGUCCCGUGCAUCCUCGCCGUCGUACGUAGAUGCCCGCUCCUCAAGGAGCUCUCCCUCAAGAGCCUCCGCGGUCUUGACUGGCCGCUCCUCGUCUUCACUCCGAUCCAUCUGGUUGUGAAUAAUGAAAAGCAAACAAAAAUAUAGAGGAUAGAAAAAAAAAUAAAAAAUAAAAAAAAUAAAAAAAUUCGUCUCUUUGAAAAAUUAUUAUGUAAUGUUACUAUUAUCGGACAAGGCCAAAAUUCAGAUAAAAAGAAAGAAGAAGAGCAAAAAAUCAGAGAAAAAGGAAAAAAAAGAUGAAUGUUGCAUUAUUAAAAUUAAAUUGCACUAUUUUUAAAAAAAAAUUACACUGUUUAAGAUGAAUGUUAUACUCUUUAAAAUAAAAAUUACACCAUUUCACCAAAUUUUAUACUAUUUCACCCAAAAUUGCACCGUUUCUCUUUCUCCUCCUCUUCCUCUUCCUUUUUUUUUUUUACACCAUUACACUAUUACACCAUAACAACAAAAAUCUCCUAAAAACUGAGCCGGAUUUACCUACGCCGCCGACUCGCCCCAUCCCUCCUCCGCCGCCUUCGCCACUCCCGUUCGAGCAUGAGACCGAGCCAGAUUUUUAUUUUUUUAAAAAAAUUAAUUAUUAAAAAAUAUUGAAAAGUAAUAAAGUAUGGUAAGUUAAUUAUGGCCUUUUGUUUGUUCAAAUCACCUAAUUUUAGGCAACACUAGUUGGCCCUAUUCGUGGGCAAAACCUUCAAACAAAACGUUUUGAACAAAUUUUUACAAAAAAUAAAUAUUCGAAAAAUAGAAAAGUUUCAAACUUUUGCUAAGUUGGCAAUCUUAAAUGGAAGGUAGUGAUAGUAUACAAUAUUUAUGCAAAAGCUUAUUUCUAAAUAAAAUAAGCGAAACAAGUAACAUAUUAAUUAUCUAUCUCUCAAAAAAUAUAUAUAUAUUUAUAUAAAAGCUUUCAGUCUAGAAUAAAUAUAUUAUAAAAGAUAUUUCGUUAGCAUUGGCUAUAAUACAAUCCAUCCGCGCCUUCUUCAAGACUAAAUUAUAAAUUUCACCUCAAUCGCGAGUUACACAACAAAUAUGUCGGCCUCAUGUUGUGGUCAUCCAUCAUCAUCAUCAUCAUUAUUAUUAUUAUUGUUAUCUAUUACUCUUUAUGAAUUCCCAAUAUUUUAAGCUGAUGUAUCAUAACCUUCUAAUUUUGAAAUUUUUUUUAUUUAGAAUGAGUCAUUUUAUUCUCCUCUCAACAUACGUUUCUUUAUUUUUUUCAUUUAAUUUUUAUUUAAAAUGAGUCAUUUUACUCUCUCUCUCUCUCUCAAUAUACGUCUCUUCAUCUCCCCCAUUCAAUUUUUAUUUAGAAUGAGCUAUUUUACUCUCUCUCUCUCUCUCUCAACAUAAGUCUCCUUAUCUCUUCCAUUUUUUUCUCUCUCUCAACAUACGUCUCUUCAUCUCUCACAUUUAAUUUUUAUUUAGAAUGAGUUAUUUUACUCCCUCUCUCUCCAUCGUUGGGUUCAUGUCUGCUGCCUACAGUGAGAGACUUUCGGUAGAUAUACCAAAUGAGAUACACAAAAAAAUAUUUAAUAUUUUAUUAUUAUUAAUUAUUAUUACAGUUUCUACCCGCUGCAAAGCGCGGGACUCUUCACUAGUUAUAUAUUAAUUCUCAAUCAAUUUUUGCUGGUGUGGCAGAGGUUAUAUUAAUUCUCAAUCAAUUUUUGCUGAUGUGGCAGAGGUGGGUAUGGUGUGGUGUGGGGCCCAGGCGGAGGAGGAAUUCUACACUGUCACACUUGCACCACGUCAUCAAUAACAAACCAAUCACAUUUCUUCUUUUCAAACAAAAGUACAAUAAAAAUACUUUUUUACAAUCAUGAUGGGACAUAUAUUCUUAAAAGGAUUAACUUGAUUGGUUUGUUACGCCACGUCACUAAUAUACUCGUUGCAUUCUAGAAUUUUUCCAGGCGGAGGGGAGAGUUGGGUGGCCCUUAUUUAUUUAUUUAUUUAUUUUAUUCUGCAUCAACAUGAAUAAUGAAAGAUUUUGAAUUUAUUUUAAUCCAAUCUAUUGACUUUUAAAUAUUUUAGAUUAUGUAUAUUAAAUAUAAAGUUUGAUUUUAUAAUAUUGGUCACUUAUAUAUAAAAUUUAAAAGAUAUAUAAUUUNNNNNNNNNNNNNNNNNNNNNNNNNNNNNNNNNNNNNNNNNNNNNNNNNNNNNNNNNNNNNNNNNNNNNNNNNNNNNNNNNNNNNNNNNNNNNNNNNNNNGCGGUUCCAGAACUUCUCGUAGUACUCUCCGUAAGUGAAACUUCUAUAUCUGAGAGGAUGAUCGUCGUCGACGAGAGCCUCAGCUGGUUCUAUAAGCGCGUCCGGAGAUGGACAGUAGAAGGUCGGGACGGAGAUCCUCUCGCUUUUGGUGUUUACGAUCACGCGGUGAAGUACGCUCUUGUAGCGGUCAUUGCUGAGCACCUGCGAAAGACGGAAAGAGAUGCUUUGUUGGUGUUUGAUUCAGCACAGAAAGACGGAAAGAAAUGCUUUGUUGGUGUUUGCUUCAUCGCAGAACGGAACGAAGGUCUGAUGAAGACUGUUCAUGUCCAUGUUACUUGCCUGUAUUUGAUCGCCCAUGUUGAUGAUUAAUGCAUUCGGUACGGGCUCGACGGCCACCCACUUCUGGCUGCGGAGAACCUGCAAGCCGGAGACGCUGUCUGGGAGAAGUACGGUGAUGGCGUUGGGGUCUUUGUGGCCCGGGAGACCGUAGGUCAGCUCGGGCUGUGGGCACGGCGGGUAGUAGUUUAUCGCCAUGUGCUGUGCCUGCUUCCCCAUUGCCUUCACCAUGUGAUCCCUUUCUAGUCCCAAGCUCUCCGAUAUCCCCUCCAGUAGUCGCACUGCGAGCGCUCUCGCAUGUUUCGAAUAUUCGCCCACUACUUGCCUGUAGAUGUGACCGGCUAUACAUAAAUAUUUUAUUCCGCAUAUUUUUUUUUUUAAUUUAAAAAUUUUGUCCAAAGUUUGAUAUUAUAUUCGGACAGUGAAUUAUUUUUUUAGAUAAAAUAAAGGAUUAAUUGCAUACAAUUAUUUGUAAAUAUAGUGAAUUAUAAAUAUAUAUUCUUAUAAAAUUUAACUUUAUUAUAUUAUUUCUAUAAAAGUCCAGUAAUAUUCAUAUUUGUUCCUCUGAUCUGUUACUGUCAGAGUGUCAGAAAUUUAUUUACUUUUUAAUAGUAAAUAAGUAAAAUGUUAAUUUUGUCAUCACAAUAAAAAUUUUUUGCAGACAUAACAUAAGAAAGCUAAACUUUGUAGGGAUAUAUUUGCAAUUUGUUAUGUUUAUAGAAAACUGUAUGUAAUUAAUCGUAAAAUAAAUUACUUUAUUAGUGAAAUAUGCUAUCCAGCCUAGGUAAUAAAAAAUUUUGAGUAAAAAUUGAACUCUUUUUUCCACAACCACAAUAGAAAAGACACCGAAUCAAACAGGUCUAAAAAUUAGAUUUCGCUUGACUCGUGGUUUUCAGUCUUUAAAUAAAUAAUAUUCUUCGCAAAAAAAUUGUUGGUUUCUUCAUUAAAUCCCCAUUAGUUUCGUUUAAGCUAUAACCUUUCUCCACACUGAAAGAUCCAAAAGCAUCUCUUUAUUAAAAAAAUUAAAACAGAAGAAAUGCAAAGCCUACAAGCCAAAAGAAGUUUCAACUCUUAUCCUAUAGUUUAUAUAAAUUAUUUAAAAAUUUUAGUAUUUAGAAAAAACAAGAAAGUAAAAAAGGAGAAUGAUAUGAUUAGUCUGAAAAAGUUUAGCCUACGAAUGAAUUAAUUAUAAAAUUAUAAUUAAAAGGUGAUUGUAAAUGGAGCGUUACUCUUUAAAACAAAAGGCUUCUGGCCAAGUGUGGUCUGCACCCGUUUUGUUAAUGUUUACCUUAUGCGUUCAAUUCAACCAUGCAACGGCGGUGUUUGGCUUAGCUUUUAAAAAGUAUUUUUGGGUUGAAAAGUGAUUUUCACUUCAAUAAAGCGUUUGGCAACUUUAUUUUUAAAAUCUGAUUCUAUUUUUCAGAAUCAGAAAAAUAAUUUUGAAGGCUCCAGAACCAGAAGCAGAAAAAAGCUGCUUCUUGAAAUCUGAUUNNNNNNNNNNNNNNNNNNNNNNNNNNNNNNNNNNNNNNNNNNNNNNNNNNNNNNNNNNNNNNNNNNNNNNNNNNNNNNNNNNNNNNNNNNNNNNNNNNNNNNNNNNNNNNNNNNNNNNNNNNNNNNNNNNNNNNNNNNNNNNNNNNNNNNNNNNNNNNNNNNNNNNNNNNNNNNNNNNNNNNNNNNNNNNNNNNNNNNNNNNNNNNNNNNNNNNNNNNNNNNNNNNNNNNNNNNNNNNNNNNNNNNNNNNNNNNNNNNNNNNNNNNNNNNNNNNNNNNNNNNNNNNNNNNNNNNNNNNNNNNNNNNNNNNNNNNNNNNNNNNNNNNNNNNNNNNNNNNNNNNNNNNNNNNNNNNNNNNNNNNNNNNNNNNNNNNNNNNNNNNNNNNNNNNNNNNNNNNNNNNNNNNNNNNNNNNNNNNNNNNNNNNNNNNNNNNNNNNNNNNNNNNNNNNNNNNNNNNNNNNNNNNNNNNNNNNNNNNNNNNNNNNNNNNNNNNNNNNNNNNNNNNNNNNNNNNNNNNNNNNNNNNNNNNNNNNNNNNNNNNNNNNNNNNNNNNNNNNNNNNNNNNNNNNNNNNNNNNNNNNNNNNNNNNNNNNNNNNNNNNNNNNNNNNNNNNNNNNNNNNNNNNNNNNNNNNNNNNNNNNNNNNNNNNNNNNNNNNNNNNNNNNNNNNNNNNNNNNNNNNNNNNNNNNNNNNNNNNNNNNNNNNNNNNNNNNNNNNNNNNNNNNNNNNNNNNNNNNNNNNNNNNNNNNNNNNNNNNNNNNNNNNNNNNNNNNNNNNNNNNNAAAUAUGUUAAGCACGUCGAUGUUCAGUAAUUUCAUGAAUUAAUUAAAUUAAAAAUUUCAAUAUCAUUAUGACUAACUAAGUUUAAUUUAUUUAAUUUUAUAAUUUAUUAUUUUUUAAUUUUAAAACUUAUCUGCAAAGUUUUAUCAGAUAUUAAAUUUAUUCGGUUCGUGCAUAAUUAGAUUUAUUAUAUUUUGUUAGUAAACAGAAAUUGAUGAUUUUGACAAUCUCUUACUAUAAAAAUUCCAAAUAUAACAUACAAAUUAUGCGUCCAAUUCUUAGUGCCGUAGGGCCUCCUUCAACAAUCUCUCUACGACGCUCAACGCUCUCUCAAGAAAGUGAAUGGCCUCCGUCUCUCCGACUUCACGAUGAGGCUGCUAGGCAGCUCUUGCUGCUCCGACAGCUGCUCGAAGUUGCACGCCUGCCUCUUCCAGUCGUUGACCUCCCUGAAGGACUCCGAGGUGACGAUGGGCGAGCUCCUAAAGUAGGCACUUACCGGGACGUUAGGAGGUCUAAAGUUCAUGCACGAAAUCGGACAAACAAGACACAGUGAGUUUAACUGAUGCACAAAUCAUCGUUUUGGGCCUCAUUAACCAAGACAUGGACCACUUAGACAUUCCAACAAAAUAAAUUCAAAUAUAAAAUUAUGAAUAACAGGUUAUUUUAUAACCCAGACAAACCAGAUUGAAAAUUUUUUCACUAAAGAUUUUUUUACUAAAACUAAACCUUUUCACUAAAACCAAUUUUCGACAUCUCACAAACCAACGCAUGAUACCUUAACUAACCUAAGAGAAUAAACGAUGCAUUAAAGUGCCAUUGACUAGCUCAAAUCAAACAGAUUAAAAAAUUUGAUAGUAAAAUCAAAAUUUUUAAAAUUUAGAUAGCCAUUUUAAAAUGGUCUAUGAUUCAAAUAAGUUUGUACAUAUUUUACCUAUUAUUUAAUACAAUAUUAAAAUAGGAGGUCGUAAAUACGAUUACCAUAAAGAAUCCAUCAGUUCGGCAUGCGGAGCCGAUUUCUUUGAUUACAUGAGAGCGAGCGGGGCCGAGCAAUCCAUGAAGGUCGAUGAGGGGGAUGGAGGUGGAGGAUUCGACAUCAAGGAGGUUUGGGCGGUCGCCGACGGGCCUAAUGUAGUUGGAAGGGACAUGGUUGGAGCUGGAUAUAGCUCGAUCAGUUAGGAGGAGCUUGGACUCUGCUGGUGCCAUGGAGGCAAAAUAACGAUCACUUCUGGGUGGGAACAAAAAGCCUAAUUAAUUAGUAUGCUAUGCUUCCAACAUGCGAGUUUCGGCUUCCUUUCCGAAAUCAUUCCUAUUUAUAGAUCAUCCGUGCUCCAUGCUUUUUAACAGUCCACAAUAAGUCAAAUUAAAAUAGAAUUUGUCUACGCACUUCAAUCCAUAUAACCAUUUGUUCCAAUUUGCAAUUUACUUCUAUCUCACGUAAAACAUUUUAUAAAGAUAAAUCAACUAAUAAUGUUAAUUAUUACAUUGAAUAGAAUUAAGUUGGAUAAAUUGCUUCAGUAAAAAACAAAAAUAAAUUUGGUGUUCGAUCUACUAAUUAAGUCGUAACUUAACUAAGUGUUCACACUCGUAAAGAGCAUUAAUACUACAUCUCCGAUUUCUUUUGGGUAUAAUUUUUUAUCAUUUAGGGUGCGUUUGGUUUGCAUUAUGAAAGAUUACUAGGAAUAAAAUAUAUCCGAGAAUCUUAUUCCUAUUCAUUCUAUUACUAAGAAUGUGAAAUUUCUGUGUUUGGUUCGCACGGUAAUAUUAACUAGCCAUAUUAUUUAAUAUUAUAAAAAUUAUACUAUUUAUUUAUUUAUUUAUAUAUAUAUAUAUAUAUAUAUAUAUAUAAAGAGUUUAUGCGGUGUUGUUACCUGUUCAGAGGGUGCAGUGUCUUCAACGCAGUGGUGUUCGUAGCGUAUUCGAUGCAGUAAUUAGUGCAUUCGCUUUACGAAUUCAAGCGUGAGAGGAGGCAUUCUUAAACAUAUUAAAUAAAAUUUGAAAUGAGCAUUUUUUUAUUAUUUUCCUAUUCGAAUCUCUAAGUAGAAUAAUCAGAAAUUCCCACGCAAACCAAGCGCGAUAGAAAAUUUUUAAGGAUUAUUAGAUUACCCUUAUUUUUUUAUACUGCCACAAACCGAUUUGCGUGAUUCAUUAGAUCAACCAUUAUAAUCUAAGUGAACCCUUAUUCUAAGUGGGGUUUUAUGAUUAGAGUAAAAGAACUCCCUCCCACCCAUAGGAGUAUAAUUACCUAACCCCAUUAGUAUUAUACAGAUUAAAGAAAAAAAAGAAAGAUGGGCGGCCGAUUAACUAUAAUAAAAAAAAAUGUGAGAUUGGAAUAUAGAGAAAGAUUUGAAUAAAAAGAGAGAUUUUAAGUUGAAAAAAAAGAGAGAGAUUUGAUUCGAAAGAGAAAGAGAGAGAAAGAUUUUAAAGUUGAGAGAGUGAGGGAGAUUAAAGCUGAUAUAAAAAGAAAGAUAAAAAAAUUAAUACGAGUGAGAGAGAUUGAAUAUGAGAGAGAGAGAGAGAAAAAAGAUUUAUCUAUAACUUUGAAAACCAUUGUAAUAGAUUUUAAUUUAUUUANNNNNNNNNNNNNNNNNNNNNNNNNUAUAUAUAUCAUCUUUUUCUUAUUAUUUUAUUUUAUUUCAUUGUUUUUAUGUUUUUCGUGUCUGGAUAUACGACAGUCGACAGAGCACUAUUUUUCAUGUGAUUUCUGGAACGGGAAAGAUGACGCAAAUAUGCUGACGUCAUACAUGGAUGCCUUGCCAUCGUACGAGUGGUUUAGAUACGAUUACCGAGCUGGUGACGGAGGCUUGAUUGACAGCUUGUGCCGUCCGGCACCAAUGUUAGUACGACAUAUUAUGCAAGCAGCGGAAUAAUUUGUACAAUAAAAUAAUUAUAUAUAAAAAAUAAUUUAUAGUUUAGAAUAAUACUGCAAUAAUUUAAAAAUCGCAUUGACCUGACUUGUUCGACCUACCGUGACCUAAUUUAUACGGCAGGUUAUGUUCGCUAUUUUAAACAGAAUAAGAGCAUAUGCUUGGUUGAUAUAAAGUAAAUAAUAAAAAGUGAAAUUGGUCAAUUUGUAUAAAAAAUUUACUAACUUUAGACUUUUGCAAAACUGGACCGUCUUUUUUAAUUUUGUAGAUUUGGUCCGAAUUUUCAGCAAACUGACCAAAAUACCCUUAUUACUUUUUCUGUCUCCUCUUUGUUUCUUUCGUUCUUUUUUUUUUUCUCUCGCCGAAAAAGUAGCGGAGUCAGAGGUAGAGGCGGAGGCGGAAAUGGCCCGCCUCGCUUCUCACUCUCAUGCUCUCGCCCUCGCCCUUGCCUUCGCCCACGUACCCCCCACCUUCCUCACCUCCGAGCCCACCGAGAUCGCGCCGUGACUUUUUUUUUUUUUUUCCUCUCCAACUCUCCUCCACUGUUUCCGACGACGACGCCUUUCUCGCCCUUCCCCGCCCUUCUCGUCUUCUCCUUCUCUCUCCUCCUCUGCCGCAUCCGACGAGUACGCAUCUUUGUCGACGCCGACACCGUGAAGGUUGCUGCGGAACUGCAGUCUCAGAGCGGGGUCUCCUUAGCGGCGACGUCGCCGUUGCUCUCGUGCCUUUUAUUGGCAAAGACGGAUCACCAAAAAAAAUAAUAGAAGCAGAGGCGGAGGCGGAAACGGUCCGCCUUGCCUCUCACCCUCAUGCUCUUAAAAAAAAAUAAAAAUAAAAAAUUAUAAAAAAAGAAAGAUGAAAAUAAAAUUGUAUCGUUAACUGCAAAAAAAAUUAUAAGUUGUACUACUUAAGAUGUAAACUGCAGUUUUAAGAUGAAAAUUACACUUUUUAAACGAAAAUUAUACUCUAUGGGAGAUAUUUAAACUGUUUCUCCUGUUAUUGCACUCUUUUAGAUGUAAACUAUAUCCAUUAAGAUGAAAGUUAUACUCUUUAAACGAAAGUUGCACUCUUUAAGAGAUAUUUACACUGUUUCUUCUCUUUUUGUACUUUUUGAGAUUUAAACUGCACCACUUUAUGAGAUAUUUAUACUGUUUGUCCUCUUGUUGCACUAUUUCUCCUCUUAUUAUAUUAUUUUUCCUCUUAAAGGGUACAGUUUAAGAUAAAAAAUAAUAAGUGAAUUUUUUAUGCAAAUUGAAACAAAGUCGUAAUAAAUUAUUAUUACACUUUAUACUAAUUCUCCUCUUGUUACACAAUUUUUUACCUUAAACUGCACCCUUUAAGAGGAGAAAUAUUGUAAUAAGAAAAGAAAUAGUACAACAAGAGGAAAAAUAGUGUAACAAGAAGAGAAACAGUAUAAAUAUCUCUUAAAAGGGUGCAGUUUACAUCUCAAAGAGUACAAGAAGAGCAGAAACAGUGUAAAUAUUUCUCAAAGAGUGCAACUUUCGUUUAAAAAGAGUAACUUUCAUCUUAAUGGAUGCAAUUUAUAUCUAAAAGAGUGCAAUAAGAGGAGAAACAGUGUAAAUAUCUCCCAAAGAGUAUAAUUUUUGUUUAAAAAGUGUAAUUUUCAUCUUAAAGCUCUAGUUUACAUCUUAAGUAGUACAAUUUAUAAUUUUUUUUGCAGCUAACGAUACAAUUUCAUCUUCAUCUUUCUUUUUUCAUAAUUUUUUAUCUUUAUUUU